rnacentral:lncRNA from 1 species
CGACCUUACUUGAACAGGAUCUGUUCUAUAGGUUCGUACCUCUGUAUCCUUAAGUUCUAAGGAGACAGGAACUGAAAUCUGGUGGAUGAUCUAUGACUCUGUGAUCAGAGCGUGAUUAACGGCUAGAUGAACUUCUCCUCGGAUUAGUGAAAUCUCCAGCUGUAGAGGAUCGUUCCUGGUCAGCAGUGGCUUAGGAUGGUCACAGAGUUGUCUGACAGAUUCUCUAAAGUAAUUUUAAUUUUUUGGAAAAUUCAGAUUCUCUUAAAAUAUUACUCUUGUUUUUGUAUGUUAUUAAAAACACAUUGCAAAAAUAUGAGAUCUACAUAAAUUAUUUAUGUAUUUCAUUGUAAAAUUAGAUAAAAAAAAAUAUUAAUAAAGUUUACUUGUGCUAAGUUUUUAAAAAGAGGUACAUUAAGUUUAGAAAGAAUUGACACAAAAAAUAUUAAACUAAAUAAUAUUAAGAAUAAAGAAAAAAUAUAAAUUAAAAUAUAUAAUAAAAAUAUAAUGUAUUAUGAUCUAAAUUAAAAAAAGAAAUCACUUGUCUUUAUCUAAAUUUGGUCAGUUAUCCUAAAACCUAAUUUAAUAUUAAAUUGAAAAAAUACAAUGGAAAAUGCUUUGUAGUGAUUAUGUCAGACGAAUGAAGCAAUGCUAAAAACUGAUGGAGGAGACUUCCAUUGAUUUUGACAGACGAUUUGAUUACGGAUAAAAUAUAUUUUAAUACACGUUUUAAACUCAUUGUUUUGUUAUUAAUAUGUGAUUCAACAUGGUGUUCUUUAUUUAGUAAUUCUUUUAAAAUAAUUAUUAUUUAAUUAACCUUUGAAAUAACUUUUUUAAAAUAAACAAGUAUUUCUUUAGAUUUUAUCAGCACCAGACUGUAUUAAUAAGGGGCCAUGAUUUUGUUUUUAGUAGUUUUUUUAAUAGAAUUAUUUAUUAAGUCGUGUUAUGCAAAUUGAUAAAGAAUAUUAAAAAACUUUACUCAUUAUAUAUCUUAGUUCAUCAUUUUUUAGUAUUAACAGUGUUUUUUAAGACUCUUUUUUAAUAAAUUGUUACGAAAAUGAUGUACUUUCUGUCAUUUAUUUUGGCUAGAUUAGAAGCGAAGUCAGCGUAGGAAUAGAUGAUUACUAAAAUGAGAUAUUGAUUACCACAAAGUAAAAAAAGAAAAAAAAAAAAAAAAAGUAAAAAAUCAAGAGCCGAUAAAAUCACCGGUGUGUGCUGGUAACCUUCGAACACAACACAUGGAAGUGACUCUGACGAGCUUGCUUCAUCACCGCUGUGCAUGAUCACUAAGUGGAAGGUGUUCCAUCUUCCAUUUUCGCAGACAAAUUAAGAAAAAUUAUAUUUUUUCACCUUUUCUUUGGCGUCUGAAACUGUUUUCCUUUCAUGGGUGAAUCCACCAUUCCUCAUUUUCAGCAUCUAAUGGCGAAAAAAUUGCUCUUUUUGUUGACCCUUUUGGAAAUACUCCUCUGUGGGCAAUCCAAGUUUAUGGUGUACAAUACAUCACAGGGUAUAGUCCCUGACAAGCUCAAUGUUCAUCUGGUAGCUCAUACUCAUGACGAUGUUGGUUGGUUGAAGACCGUUGAUCAGUACUAUGUUGGUUCUAACAAUUCAAUUCAGGUGUUUAUUUAAUUCUCUUUCUUUGGCUAAACUUGUGAACAAUGGUGUCUGAAGAUUGCAAGUUGAGGGUCUUGUUUGCUAUGUUGCAAUGUGCAGGGCGCUUGUGUGCAGAAUGUGUUGGACUCUAUGGUGCACGCGCUGUUGGCUGACAAGAACAGAAAGUUUAUCUAUGUUGAGAUGGUAAGUUGGCUUCUUUUGAGUCCCUUAUAUGUUGUUUUCUUGAGUUUCUUUGUUGGAUCAAAGUGCUACUGCUCGUGACAAGAGGAAAUUUUGAAGUUGCUUUUUUGGGCUAAAAGUAGUGCUGUGAUGUUCCAAGACACAAUCCGGCAAAGCAUUUCAUUUCCUUUAUGUAGUUCAUGCCUUCCUCUGCAACUUUUUGUACCAAAUUCAUGAUUUAUAUUUCACAUCCUUCUUGUGGCAACAGAUUAAUGUUGCUCCUACAACAAGUUUGAAUUACCUAGACUGUUAAUGCUCGUGACAUUGACAAAUAGGAAUACUAAGAAAAUGAGGAAAACUAUGUUUUUGAAAAUAUGGACUACUUUUAAGGCUUUCUUUAAAUGCUAGUGUGAAAUAUUCUCUCUUGGGAUCAACUCGGUGCGGCUGUGUGAUAGGAUUAACUAGCUAAUGAAAUUGAUGGAUAGGAAUAUCGAGAAAAUUUGACGAUUUGUCUAACACCAAGGCGUCAACUCCAUAUAUAUUUAAAUUCCUUCUACAUUUCCUGUUUUUGUUCCUACCCUGUCAAUGUUUAUAUGCUUGAACGUAGCAUGCAACUAUAUGUUCAUUUUACGUGUUGGCUGUUUCUUCUUAAUUCUUUCACUUUCGUCAAUGCAGGCAUUUUUCAAGAGAUGGUGGAGAGAUCAAAGUGAAGCUGUUCAGGAUGUUGUUAAGAAACUUGUUAGUUCGGGUCAACUAGAGUUCAUGUAAGUACCUUUCUGACUACAGAUUUCAAUGCAAUUAACAACAAAGUCAUUCUUCAAUUGUGAAAUGAAAGCCAUCCUUCACUGUGAAAACAAACUGAUUAAGAAUUCCUUUGUGAGGGUUCCAAUAUCUAUGGGCAAUUAUCUCUCCAUUAUGGUAUUCUUCAAUCGUCUUUUAUUUAGGGAAUGAUGCUAUUUCUUUCCUUUAUUUUCUCCUUGUUACAGAAAUGGCGCCAUGUCUAUGCAUGAUGAAGCAGUUACACAUUACAUAGACAUGAUUGAUCAGACUGCACUUGGUCAUCAAUUUCUGAAAGAGGAAUUUGGUGUGACUCCUAGAAUUGGUUGGCAAAUUGAUCCUUUUGGACACUCUGCUGUGCAGGCCUACCUGUUGGGAGCUGAAGUAUGGCAUAGAUCUUCAAACAAUGAAUCUUAUCAUGACUCUCAAAUUUAGAAAGAAUAUGUUUCUCUUGUAUUUCAAUAAUGAGGGCAAUGGACCUAUAAAUACACAAGCUUGGUAGUUAUUUUGGGAAAUAUAGAUAGCUAAUUCUAAGGAAACAAAUCCCUAUAACUAUGGGAUUGUUUUUAAAUACAUAAUCCUAGCAUUAAUACCAAGAUACACAUGCAAUAAAGAAUAAAAUUAUAGCAGGAAUGUUAUAAACACUUUCUAAAAUACAUAAUGAGCAAAGCAUGAUUUUGAUAAUGACUAAUGAAUAUAUUUUGAAGAAGAUAUAUGUCAAAAGCAUUAUUUGCUAUGUGGGUUAUCAAUUGGUUCUAAUUUGUAUGCAGGUUGGCUUUGACUCACUUUUCUUUGGUCGGAUAGACUACCAAGAUAGGGCUAACCGCAAAAAGGAGAAGAGUCUUGAGGUUAUCUGGCAGGGUAGUAAGAGCCUUGGCUCUUCAGCCCAGGUGAAUAUCAAGAAAUAUGUUUCUUUUCUCUUUAAAUAUUUUAUGGUUGUCUUUGUUAGAGAUCCUACAUUGACUAGGAAUAAUUUUGUGAGGUUGAAUUAGACAUAAGUUUACUUACCAAGAGUCUUUGUAUUUUUAUGAUUGGUUUCUCUUAAAUUAAAUGUUUCCUUUUAUUAUGUUGAGUAUCCUUUUUGUUCUUGCAGAUUUUUGCUGGAGCAUUCCCUGAAAAUUAUGAGCCACCUGCUGGAUUUUACUUUGAAGUUAAUGAUAACUCACCGAUAGUUCAAGUAAUAUUAUAAGAACUUGUUAAUUUUGUUAUCACAUAUAACUAUUUUAGUUCAUUGUUAUGCUAAACUUUGCUUACUUCUUCCUGAAGGAUAACAUGGAAUUGUUUGAUUACAAUGUCCAAGAACGAGUGAAUGACUUUGUUGCAGCUGCAUUAUCGCAAGUAAGUUCAGCAUGUUUAUCUUCAGAUUUCUUAAAAAUGUUAUUUGAAUUUUGAGAUGCAAGAAUAUCAUUAGAAAUUAAAAAUUGAAUUGAGUGAUUGAGAGGUGUUGGGUCUUUCGAGGAGAAUUCACCAAGGAGAUUCAAUGAGCCAAACUCGCGUAAGAUAUUAAUGUAAGUGUUAGAAGUCCCACAUCGACUAGAGAUAAAGUCAAUUUAAAGUAUAUAAAUGGGUGUAAACCUUAUUUUACAAAUUGGUUUUGUAGGACUGGGUUAAAGUCCACCACUUAACAUGUUGGCUCAAGUCAUCUCCCAAUGAAUUUGAUUUAUUAUUUCACUUAAAAUAGUACCAUCUUUUCUUUUCCAUCUUUAAGAACUCUUCUCCAAGCUUAUGAUCUUAGCUUCUCUUAACCACUGAAAAAAUCUCCAAUUCAGCCAUGCUUGCAUUGUCUAUAGGGCAUUAGAUGAUUCAGAAUUGUAUCAUCUAUAGAAAGAUGACUUAUGAGAUUGCUUUCAUUUCAACUACACAAAGCACACAUUAGAACAUUUAGGAAACAUCUAUCCAAUUAUAUAAUGUUAAAUGUAAUUAGCUGUUACAGAUUUGUAGGAAAUUAACAGUUACAUGUUUUAGGAAAUUAGGAUGAUUGAUUCCUGAUUAUUAAGAGUUAUAUAAUUGAUUUUAUAAAUUAGUAUAAAUACAUACUGUGUGGUCUGCAUUACACACACAAUAUAUUUAGUAAAUAUAUCAUUCUAUAUGGUACAUAGUUUAGGGUUUCAAUCUUUGAUCUCCAGUUUUCUAUUUUUUCGGGUGAACAAUACUCGCAGCCACUGUGUGUCACUUUUUCCGUCACCUAAUGUCCCUUCAUUUUGGUGACCACUGCAACCAGAACUGCCUUCCUCCGGUUUAAAGUACAUAUUAUCACAAUUGACCACCACACUUCAUUUGCUGCUUCUGUCCACUUCUGCACCCGCCCAUACGUGUGACCUCUUUCCAGAGCAUACAUUUCACACGCCCAUCUCAGAUUUUUUUUUUCUUUUUUUUUUCAUUUCGACACAUUAUCCAAUUAUAUAACAUUCAGGAAACAUCUAUCCAAUUAUAUAACAUCAUCAACACUCAUGUCAGACAUGAUUUAUCAAGUCAUCUAGGCAAAUUCUAUAGACUAGACUCUCUAAUUAAACUUAUCUAACUAGAUCAUAUAGUGCCUUUCCUCUACCUAGAACACCUAUCAUCUAACAUGGUUUAAAAAGAUGAUUUUAAUGCAUAAUUUGAUUUAAAGUUCAUAUUAUCACAAUUGAUCAAAUCCCAGUUAAAACAAUGGAUUUUUAAACUCAAUUAUAGCUCAAGAUAGCUAUAAUUAAGUAUUCUAAAAGCAGGAAAACAAAUCUUUAGUGAUGUAAAAAAUCAUUACUGUCAUGGGGACAAUGACCAGGCUUACUAUCCAUGACAAAAUACUUACGAACACAAAACUCAGACACAUUAGAUUUUGUAGUAUAAUUGCAUAAAUUACCAAUCAGAAUAAAUUUUUUUAUUUUUAUGUCUUGAUUAAGGCAUAUGUUUACUAUCUAGCUGAAUAAGAUUUCUCCUAUACAAAUCGAAUCAACAACCAAAAAAUUGAAUGACUAGCCUUACCAACUUGUUCCAAUUUCCAUAAUUGGUUUUUGUUGUGGAAUAACUCAAAACAAUUUCGCUGCAUAAGCGUCUACCAUACAAUAACAUGAUAUUAGAUAAACUGCAAAAUAAACAAUUAGAAGGUAAAAAAAGGAAGAAUAAGGAAAAAUCACAAUAGAAAAUAAGGUGGUUAAAUUGAAGUGCUAAAAAUUACAGCUUGAAGUUUCUCUCUAAGUGAAGUUGAACAACAACUUUCAAUUGAAAAAAUUGUUGAUAUAUCUUCCUAUUUAUGCAGCAUAACUACCUUAAUAACUUCCAUAAAUCACACCUAAACAAGCCAAGAAAAAUAUGUGAACAUUGCUUUCACUACUGAGUUUGAAACGUCACUUAUGUAGACUCUUUAGAUGAUACGAGUCAAAGAGGAAGUUAAAGUCCGGAUGCAAGUAGACAAUCUGAUGUCAUCAAAUGCUUUUAUAAAAGACAAAAGCACUGAUGAAGAUGUCCUGAUGAAGUCAGACUCACUUGAACCAUUAGAUGAUCUGGAAGAGUUAGACGAACUAGGAACCUUAAAAGGGUUUUACCGAGUCAGUCCUCAAAGUUUUCAAAAGGAAUAAAUUAAACUGUAAACAAGAACUCAACCAUGACCUUAAAUUUAAAGCAAAUGGAAAAAACAGAAAAAGAUAAUAUUAGUAUGUAAUAAUCUAUCAGAUUUUCUUAUAGUUGGCGCUUUUAAAAGAUGUUUCCAACCUUCUUUAAUGGAAAUCCAUUUCAACCAAACUGACAUGUUCUUAACUUGAAGCUUGAAUAUGAAUUUUAAUUUUGCUAUUGAGUUUUUGGAAUAGCGGGAACCUUGAUUGCUUUUAUUUACGCUAUUUUAUUUUUAGGCAAACAUAACUCGAACAAAUCAUAUCAUGUGGACAAUGGGAACUGAUUUUAAGUAUCAAUAUGCACAUACAUGGUUCCGGCAGCUGGACAAACUCAUUCAUUAUGUAAACAAGGUAACUCACUCGUAUACAUGAAUUUAUUUGUUUGUGGUUUGACUUCAUGUCUUUAUUCUUGUUAUUAUGAAUUCUGAUUGUUAAAUAUUUUUCAACUUUAGGAUGGACGUGUUAAUGCUCUGUACUCUACGCCAUCCAUAUAUACUGAUUCAAAAUUUGCUACCAAUGAGUACUGGCCAAUCAAGACUGAUGAUUUCUUCCCGUGAGUUUAAUAUGUAGCUGUUUCAUAAUCCAUUUUGCUUAAUUAUUAUAUUUUUGUAUGGUAUGACGUUUCUCCUCAUAUACCCAUGAACAAAAUACCAGUUAUGCAGAUCGUGCAAAUGGUUACUGGACAGGAUACUUUACCAGUAGACCAGCAAUCAAACGCUAUGUCAGAUUAAUGAGUGGCUACUACUUGGUAUGAUUUGUAUAUUUAUAGUUUACAAGGUAAUAAUCAUCUUUAGUCCACUAGUUUUUGGAUAUUUACUUUCUACAAAAAAAUUAUUAGGCUGCAAGACAACUAGAAUUUUUUAGGGGGAGAAGGAAUUCAGGGCCAAAUACAGACUCGUUAGCUGAUGCUUUAGCAAUUGCUCAACACCACGAUGCAGUCACUGGCACAGAAAAGCAGCAUGUUGCCAAUGAUUAUUCUAAACGGUUGGCAAUAGGCUACAAGGAGGUGCAGUUUCAGAGUCUGUUUCAAGUUACUCUGUAUAACCAUUUGUUAGUGAAUCGUCUAGUGGCAUAUUGUUUUUUUGCAGGCAGAGGAAUUGGUUUCAUCCUCACUGGCCAGCUUGGUUGAAUCACCAUUGCAUUCUAGAUGUCAAAACCCAGUUACAAAGUUUCAACAAGUAAAAGAUCUAGAAUCUUUUUAAGUUUGUUCACUAUUUGUAUUAUUUGCUGAAAUGGCUUGCUUCUUCCUUGUCUUAAUUUUUUUUUUUUCAAAAUUUUAGCUGUUGAUAAAUGAUUUCUUAUCCUUUAUUAUUUCUUAGCUCAAUUACCGUUUGGUGUAUGUCAUGUCAAACCUGAUUUUGUUUUAGCUGUUGAUAAAUGAGCUUUGUGCCUUCCCCUUUAUCACAAAAAAGAUUAUAAUAACUAUUAGAUAUGAUAGUUUUUUAUUAUCAUAUUUAAGUUCGAGUUUUUUAUAUUUUCAAUAUACUUUUUCCUUUUUCAUAUUUUACAGUGUCCACUUUUGAACAUAAGUUAUUGUCCUGCAUCAGAAGUUGAUCUGGUUCGAGGGAAGAAUUUGGUAAAAUUCAUCACAUAUUUUGUUAUCCUUUCAUCAGUUAUAUUGUUUUAUAUUUAUUUCUUAAAUUCUAUCUUCUCACGAGUUUUUUCCAUGCUUAGGUCAUUGUGGUUUACAACUCUCUUGGUUGGAGGAGGAAUGAAGUCAUUCGAUUUCCAGUGAGUGAUGUCACUCUAGUAUUUGUUGAUUGUUCUAAAUUCAGUGUAUGGUGGAACAUAGAGAAGUUAAAACUAAAACGAUGAAAAUAAUCAUAAUCUUUAUCUUUUUUGCUCAUCUAGUGGUCUUCAAUCAUGAAAUAUUAAUGUAUCUUCAAUAUGUUAGAAAGUUCUUGGAGAAACUGAUAUGAUAUUUUAUUAUUUUUAUCUGUGUGAAGCUGAAUACAAAAGGGAGCAUUUAUAAUGGCUACCCUUGAUAGCAAAAACCCAAAAUGCCCAAAACAAACUCACCAAAUUUAUAUUUAUUUAGUCUAUUGCAUCCUAAUAAAAGUCAGAUGUAAAAUACACCAACUGACUAUGUUAGUUAUCAAAUGAGCUGACAUAAUCAGUUACCAACUAAGCGUGUAUGUUGGGAAGUCUGAUAUCCGCUGCCUCAAUUCUUGGAGUGAAGCAUAUAUAACUAUUAGAAAACUUCAAUUGAUAAAAAUUAGUUUUAAGUUGAAAUUUGACAUGGUAUCAAAGCUUAUUGAUAACAAUUAGUUUUGAUAGGCUGCCAUGGUUUGACAAGCAUCUAUAGAGGGGUGAUGUUGAGAAUGUCCAACAUUGUCUGUCCCAAUUCUUGGAGUAUGGUUUAUAUAUGUAUUGGGAAAGUUCGCAUAAUCCAAAUUGGUUUUAAGUUGAAUCUGCCAAUAUAUAGCUAACAAAGCCUGCUGGUACACUUGGCUACUAACUUCCUAAUAGAUUUUUAUUUAGGGCAGCUAUUAUGAUGUUAAAGGUUUUUGAGAUUGAUGUUUUAAUGCACUUAAAUAUAUAUAAUAUUUGCUUAAAUGGGCUAGUAAAUUUCUCUUUAACUAUUGUAGUACUUACUCGUGUGUGUGUAGAUGUAACUAAUGUUGCGACCAUCUUCAGGUUACUGAGGCCAAUGUUAGAGUUCAGGACUCUAACGGUUCAGAAAUAGAAUCCCAACUUCUUCCUCUGGCUGAGAAAUAUUUAGACUUAAGAAACUACUAUGCGAAAGCAUAUAUGGGUCAGGAUCCACUUAAGACACCUAAGUAUUGGCUUGCAUUUACAGUUUCUGUACCUCCACUUGGUUUUAGCACCUACACUGUCUCGACUGCAAAAAGAACAGGUUCAAAUAUAUAUUGCUUUAGUAUUUAAUUUACAAGAGUUAAUUUCCAUGCUCAUAACAAAGAAAUGAUUUCUAUUUGAUUUCAGGAUCAACUAGAUCGUCAGUAGCGACAUAUAAAAGUAGUGAAAAGUCUAAAUUUGAAGUAGGUCAAGGAAAUUUGAAGCUUACAUUUUCUACUGAUCAAGAGAAGUGUACCAAUUACGUUAAUAGAAGAAACCUGGUUUGUGAUACUUCACUUUGCACCACAUGAUUCCCUUUUCACUAGAACACCUUUAUCUGUGCAAUCAUGCCUCUGUAUUUGUGAUGUUCUCUUUACUGUUUUCAUGUUUUCAUAUAUUCUUUAGCUUCGAAUUUUACAUGGACAGAAAAAUGUAAAAGCAAAAGAAGUAAAACUUGAUUAACAAUGUUAUUUUUUGAAAUGUAAGGUUGAGGAACAGGUUAAACUAAGUUACCUCUACUAUUCUGGAUACAAUGGAACCAAUCAAAAGGAUCCGCAGGUAGAUAAACAUUUUGACCAUAGAUAUCAAUGUCAUACGGGUUCAAUAUGUUUUUUAUCUCUGUAAAUAUAGAAAUGUUCACUUUUAGUACCCAAAAGCUGUCUUCUUUUUUCCCUUUUUUAUUGAAAUAGGGACCAUACAUGACACAUUUCCACAAAGGAGGGACCAAUGAGUGGAUAGUUUUUUCAGGAAUUAAAAGUGAACAUAAUCCUAUUUUCAAAUGAUAAACUAAAAACAUAUUUAUCCCCUUAAGUCUCUCACAAUUCUACUUUGGAUAUAACUUCAUAAUUUAAUUCCCCUCACAGAAUUCCGGGGCCUAUGUCUUCCGUCCAAAUGGCACAUUUCCAAUAAACCAUGAAAAAAAGGUUUGAAGUCCUUCCUGCUAUAUUCUAAUCCAACAAACGAAUUCCCAUAACAAGUGUCACAUUCGAUUGAAUUUUCAGGCUCUAUUAACUGUUUUGAAUGGACCGGUACUAGAUGAAGUUCAUCAACAAAUCAAUCCAUGGAUAUAUCAGGUGUUUUGCUUGUUACAUCUUUAACAGCAUCUUCAUAUUGUUUUCUUAUUAAUAAUAAUAAACUUCUUUCCCAUUUAGUUACAUGAAAUUGUGGUCACAUAAUAAUUUAAAUAAAAUGUGGUGUGUAAAAAGGAAGACGGGAACUGCAUGUUAACUUCUUGACAAUCUUAAUAUGAUAGUUUUUAAUUAUUUAUAUAGACAAUACAAUUGAUUUUAUUAUAGUUUUUCCUCUAUAUGAUAAUUAUGGCUUCACCUUACUUUCAAAAUUUUAGGUGCAACAGGUCUUAAUAUUUUACAUUAUGCAAUUUACUUUAAUGUUCUUUUACUUUAAGUAAACAAAAAGAGUAAAUAAAGCUUAGGGAAUGCCCUUAGUGCCAUCCUGGUAAUUUAUUUUGCAGUCUCAAGUGUUGCAAAAUAAUAAAUGAAUUUUGCCAUAAAUAGCCUAGAGACAGUCUUAUCCAUCGGCCCAAACACUUAAUAAAGUAGGUCCCACUUCAUGAAUGAGGGCUAGCGAAGUGGAACCAAUCCCAUUAUCAGUACCUGUUCUACUCCAGUUUCUAUUUGCCCCAGCUCCUAAUUUUUUCUAUAAUUAUAGUAAUAAAUGUUGAUGAAUGAGACUUUUUAUCUUCUUUUUACCUGACAUUAGAAAUUAAUAUGCUUCAAAUAUGUCCGCAGAUUAACAGACUAUACAAAGGAAAAGAGCAUGUUGAAGUGGAGUUUAUCGUAAGCUUUAAAUAAUUGGUUAUUAUAUUUACAUUUGUGUCAUUCUCCUAGUCAUGUUACAAUUUGUCUGUGACAGUUUGAUUUCCUUUGUAGUCUGGUAAAUACCGUGAUAACUAUUGAGAUAUAUUCUUAUAUGGAUUUUAUGGAUAAUGUUGGAAUAUCAGGUUGGCCCUAUACCAAUUGAAGAUGGAACUGGUAAAGAAGUUGCCACUCAGAUUUCAACUACUAUGGAAACCAACAAAACAUUUUACACGGAUUCUAACGGGCGAGAUUUUAUCAAAAGGGUAUGCAGAUCAGACUAAUGUUCCUUGUAAUACUACAUCUAAGUAAUUUAGAUCAUACAUAAUUGUUGGCACCAGAUGUUACCUUGCUUAAGUUUUCAUUAUAUUCUUUUGUUGAAAUUCUUUGGUUUAAGGUAUAGAGAGAGGGAAUGGAGAAAACGAAGAUUGAUACUAAUAAUCCGAAUUGAAAAAAGAAUCAGAUCAUAAAAUACUAAAGCGUGGAAACUUAGAAAAUAAAGAGUUUGAUACUUAGAGAUAUUUUUAAGAUACUCUAAGGUAUUCUGAAGAUAUAAUAUCGACAAAGAUGACCUUGGUUGUGGGAAUCUAAGAGAAGAAACAAGGGAGUCUAUCAGGCAAUAAAAUAACUGAUUGUGUUAUUUCUAAAACUGAUAUUGACUUGAUGUGAUAUGUUUGCAGAUACUCAAAUAUUCUGAAAGAUGUAAUAUUGAUAUUCUAAGAUAUUCCAACAUCUUUCUAUUUCCAAAUGCUGGGUUUUGUUGCAAAAUAUAAUUCUCUCAUGGAAGUCAAGAAAUGGAAACAACAUAUCUUUUUAUUUGAUCUUAAAUUUGUUGAUGGCAUAUAGAAGUAUCUGCAAAAAGUUUUCAUUUCUUUUCCUUCAGUUGUAAAGUAAAUUUUUGGAACUCAUCUCUCUGCAGAUACGGGAUUACAGAACUGACUGGGAUCUGGAAGUGAACCAACCCGCUGCUGGAAAUUACUAUCCUGUAUGUGAACUCCUAUACAACAUUUCUGUUAUAUUCAUCAUUGGUGUUCAAGGCCUAGUUUCCCCCUCUUUCCUGCAGGGAUGCUAUUGCUGAAACUGUUGUGCUUGCAAACUGUUGUUUGUUCUUGUAUGAUAAAUUAUGAAACUUCUAAUAAUAAACUUCAUUUUUUUAACUUAUUUAGCUUAUUGAAAUCAUUAUUUCAUGAGCUUUGUAAGUCAUCCACAUGCAAAUCCAUUUUAGAAUUAAUUGCAGAGAUGUAUGCCCAACCACACUUCAUAAUUCAGACUGUUUUCUUUAAGGCACAGGAGUUUGAUAAAUUCCACAAGUUAUAUCCAUUCUUUAGGUUCUUAAUAUUAUUUAUUUUUAUCCUUCAGAUUAAUCUUGGGAUAUACGUAGAGGAUAAUAAAACAGAAUUCUCAGUUUUGGUGGACCGACCUAUUGGAGGAUCCAGCUUACAAGAUGGACAAAUAGAGCUGAUGGUCCACAGGUAUGUUUUGUUCUUCAAAUGAUGUGUUAAAUAGAAUGAUAUUCUACUGGAGUUACUUGAAAUUAUAAUUAAACUACUCCUAUUUAGAACUUUGCAAGGCCUUGUUUCUUGGAAAUGUGGUCUUUUUCCAUCUAUGGUAAAGUGUGUGAGCAUAUAGAAGGGAGCAAAGCUUUUAAUAAUUAAAAUGUUUUGGAAGAAAGGAGGGGAAGAUUUCUUAGAUGUACAAUUUAGUUAGUGAUUUGGUGCUUUAGUGAAGCAGAAUGCAACGUUUUUUAGAUAACUUAUCUGCUUCAGCUUUUGAAGUGUGGGCAUGUUGGCUGUGUCUUCAUCAUUUAAGAGGUGGGGAUGAAUUGCUUAAUUCAGCAUCACGAUCUCCAUUUUCUCACACUAGAGUUUGGAUUGCUUCUUUCGGAGUGAUAGGAUUAACCCGUGAGUCAAAAUUGGACAUUUUGGACAUCUGAGAUCUGACACGACUUUUUGUGCUCUAAAGUUUUCACAAGAGCUGUGAAAAGUAUUUUUUUGGUGUUAAAAUCUAUAAUUUUCUGUCAUUUAUGUCAUUUUUUUCUUAUGGAAUAAAUGUUGUUAUUCUUACUAGUUUGACCUUGCCAUCAAUAAUUGUUUACUUAUAUUUUUAAUUGGUGAAUUACAUUUCUUAUUAACGUACUACAUAGUUUGUUAGGUUUUCUUCAAUACUUCUUUUUGAAAAAAAAAAUGCUAUUAAAUUUAUUGGUAUUUAUAAAGGAAAUGUGCAAUUGAUUUAAAGUAUUUGGCAUUUUGAUGAACAAAAAAACAUCUGUCAUGGUGUGUUGUUUUUAAAUUUUGAAGUUUUCAUGAAUUCCAACCGUACCUGUCUAAUGUAUUGGUGACUUAGUGGGUGAGGAGGGUCUACUUAGCGGGGAAUAUGCAAUGGUGAUGGACUUCUUUAGUCAAGAAGUCGAUCAACUCUCUCCUCUCACCACAACACAUACAAACAGAACUGAAUGUACACUGUUUUAUUGAUAUAAUGUGAACUGAAUACAAGAAUUACACCCUUCUAGGAAGCCUCUCUUCCUCCACUGGAACAGAGAUCCAGUCUAUACACAAAUUUACAAAAGAAUAAUCCCCGCCCUUAAGCAAACAGACUCAUAUUUAUAGUAUCACUCCCCCUGCCCCUCUACUAACUAACUUACAACCACUUUUCCCGCUUAGUUCCCUCCUUUCUUCUUUCUUCUCUCAUAUACUUUUAAUCCUCUAACAAAUGGUCAAGAGACCUCUCAUUGCUUUUGAUUGCUUGCCCACUCCCACCCCUUACCAUGCAACCAGCAGCAACCCCUUUUUUUUAAGUCUUGUUUUGAGGGUGUCUAUUUUCACUGUUUGAUUCUGUCAUUGUAUUUUUGUUUAUUUUUAAAGGAUUAACCAAAUUUCUUUCUUCUCAUAAACAGGAGAUUACUACUUGAUGAUUCAAAAGGUGUUGCAGAGGCUCUAAAUGAAACCGAUUGUGUUGGUGGUGAUUGCAGGGGUCUAACUGUAAGAAUUUCAUGCAUAUUUUUUAUGUUAUUUAGUUGUUUGUUUCUUUUAUUAAUGUUAGAUGUGUAUUUUUGAGUAUAUAUUCUCAUUUUAUCAGCUGACAAUUUCUCUCAAAUGGGUCUUAAAAUGCUGAUGGCAGAAAAAGGUUUGACAAAUCAAUGUCAAUCCAAUUGUUGCUAAAGCUGACGAAAAUGUCAAUGCCAUAAUUUUGCAUUUAGUGUCAAAAUCCCAUGACCUGCAUUUAAUAUUUUCUUAUACAAUUUUAAUUGCAUAAUUAAGAGAUUUAAUCACAUUCCAUAGUUAAGAGGAUUAAUAGGCUGACGCUAUAUUUUAUAUCUAUUGUAUAGGAUCAUUGGUCCUGAAUAGUAGGAAUAGAUUAUAUCCAAUAUAACUUAGGAUUUUCUGUUAUUAACCAAUUGCUCCUCAAUGAAUAAUAUGAUAACAGUUUUCUGAUAUGGUAUCAAAGUCACUUAAAGCGUAUCCUAUUCAAGUUCUUUGGGAUUAUUAUGCCACUGUUAUCUUAGACCACUCACAAAUACAUAAUCCUAUGUUCUUUCCUCAUAAUGAGGAUAUGUGUUAAAGAUCCCACAUUGACUAGGAAUAAGGCUGAAUUAUAAUGAGUGGGAUGCAAUUUUACUUUACAUGCUGGUUUUGUGAGGUUGAGUUAAACAUAAAUUUGAUAAAAAUAUGUUUAGGCAAAAAGCUCGUGUAUUGAAGAUAAGGAUAAUUCAUUCUCAACAAAAAGACCUCAUUCUUCCAAAAUUAAGUCCCAUUAACACCUCAUCAUCUAUUGAAACUAAUACUUCACCAUCUACUGAGUCUAGUCAUGUUGCUUCACCAAAAAUAAUUGGAGAAAAAACUCAUUGUUACCCAUCCAUUGUAGGUAUACUCGUGAAGGAGAAGGUCUGUUAUUCAACCACCACUAUUGAAACUAAUACUUCACCAUCUACUGCGUGUAGUCAAUUAUGUUGCUUCACCAAAAAUAACUGGAGAGAAAACUCAUUGUUACCCAUCCACUCUAGGUAUACUCGUGAAGGAGAAGUUCUGUUAUUCAAUCACAAGUCCAUGAAUAUGAAUCUAUGCCUAAAAUACCUGACAUUAAUGAAGAAUAGAAUAUGCUAACCAUUGAAGUUUGGGACAUUCCAAUUGCAGUACGGAAAGGUGUUAGAGGAUGUACUCAGAAGCCAAGGUACCCAUUGUCACACUUUGCGUCCUAUGACAAACUAUCCCGUAGUCACCAAAGCUUUCUUGAUCAUCUAAAUACUGUCACUGUUCCAAAAAUUAUGGAUGAGGCACUCGAUAGUAAUAAUCGAAAAAAUGCUAUGAAGGUUGAAAUGAUUGAUCUAGAAAAGAACAAAACUUGGGAAUUAGUGGAUCUACCUAAAGGAAAAAAUCUUGUCGGAUGUAGGUGGGUAUUCACUAUUAAAUCCAAGGCAGAUGGGACAUUAGAAAGGUAUAAGGCUAGGCUUAUAGCUAAGAGUACUCAAACAUAUGGGAUUUACUAUCUUGAAACUUUUUUACUUGUCGCAAAAAUGAAUAUAGUUAGAAUUUAUUGUCUCUAGCAGCUAACUAUGAAUAACUAUAAAUAGAGUUUGUAACAAUUUGAUGUUACAAAGGCCUUUCUACAUGUCAAUCUUGAGAAAGAACUUUACAUGGAGGUUCCACCUAGGUUUAAAGUCGAGGAGAGAAAGGUGUGUAAACCCUGGAAGGUACUCUAUCUAUUGAAACAAUCUCUUAGAACAUGGUUUCACAGGUUUAUUAUAUUAAUGAAGAUCAUGGGUGGGUACAAGCAAAAGGCAAAGUGACCGUAUAUUGUUUAUUAAGCAUUCAUCUUCAGCGGAAUUACUGCACUAAUUGUGUAUGCAGAUGAUAUAGUUCUAACCGGAAAUGAUCAGGUAGGAAUGGAAGCUUUAAAAAAAUGUUUGAUAACGGAAUUUGAAAUCAAGGAGUUAGGUAGAUUGAAAUAUUUCUUGGGCAUUGAAGUGGCUCAUUCCCAUCAUGGUAUUUUCCUCUCCAAACAAAAAUAUGUGCUGUAUUUAUUGGCUAAAACUGAUAAAUUAGGAUGCAAACUAAUUGAGACACCUAUUUAAUAAAAUCACAAACUUGGUGAAACAAUUGAAGAUGUAGCUGUGGAUAGAAAAUCUAAUCAAAGACUGGUUAGGAAAUGGAUCUACUUGUCUCACACUAGGCCCGACAUUGCCCAUUCUCUAGGAGUUCUAAGUUAGUUCAUUCGUAAUUCAAGAGGAGACUCAUCUCAAAAUUGUUUAUCACAUUCUAUAGUACUUGAAAGAAACUCCUGGAAAGGGGAAUGAGAUGAUCUUAGAAGUCUACACAAAUGCUGGCUAUGCAGGUUCUAUAGAUGAUAGAUGAUCUAUCUCUGGAUAUUGCACUUUGAAGAAAUUUAGUCAAUUGGAGGAGCAAAAGAAAAAAUGUUGUGGCAAGGUCAAGUAGGGUUUAGAGCCAUGGCCUUAGGGAUUUGAUAAAUACUAUGGUUAAAGAUAAUUUUAGAAGACCUGAAUAUUGAUUGGAAGAACCCUGUGAGAUUGUAUUGUGAUAACAAGUUAGGAAUAAAUAUUGCACAUAAUCCAGUGUAACAUGAUAGAACUAGGCAUGUUGAAGUCGAUCAACACUUCAUAAAAGGAGAAAUUGGGUAACACCACAACCAUUUGUAUCCUUUGGAAACCAACUUGUAGAUGUAUUGACAAAAAGGCUAAGUGGUGUUACAUUUCAGUCUAGUGUUGGCAAAUUGAGAAUGAAUGACAUCCACUCACCAACUCGAGGGGGUGUCAGAAUUCUAUGAUUUAUGUUGCAGUUAAUAUUUGCUUAUAAAGUUUUAAUUACAUAAUUAGGAUAUUUAAUUACAUUUCAUAAUUAGGAGGAUUAACAAGCGGAAAGUAUAUUUUAUAUUUUUUGUACAAAUCAUUGAUUCUAAAUUGUAGGAAUAGAUUAUAUUCAUUAUAAAUUAGGAUUUUCAAUUAUUAAGUAUUUGUAUUCUAUCUAGGAGCAAUUUCUCCUCUAUCAAGAAUAUUAGAAACAAUUUUCUAACAUUUAGAAAUGUUUAAUUGAUAUAUAAAUGAGAAAGAAAUUUGUCAAUUUUCAAUUGCUUUCUAAAAAGGAUUUAUUCCCAAUGUUGUCAACAAAUUAUGCCUACCCAAAUUUUUGGCAGUGUGUAGUUUUGGCUGUUAAUGUAUUUGACUGGAGCAGUUUUCCUGCAUUUUGUUUAAUGUCAUUCAUGGAAAAUGUCUGCUGUAUGAUUUAGAUUUUCAUAACUGGUAAUAUGUCACUGACAAUCUAUGUUGUAGGUCCAAGGCAAAUAUUACUACAGAAUAGACCCCUUAGGCGAGGGUGCUAAGUGGCGUCGUACUUUUGGCCAGGAAAUAUAUUCUCCACUUCUUUUAGCCUUUGCUGAAAAGGUAAAAUUGAAUACUGCAAACAAAAUACUUCUUUGUUAGAUAUAUUGCAUUUUAUGUUAAUUAAGUAAACAUAGGCCAUGUUAAUUAUGUUAUUUUUCAUAUUCAUUUGUAUUUGGGCUUAGCUUACAUUUUCAUUAUUAUAAAUACAUUACCUAUGUGUAUUUUCUAUAUAAAGAAGAUUAAUCCUAUACCUAGUUUUACUCUAUUCAACAUGGUAUCUAGAGCCUAAAGCUUUUGAUAGUCAAUAUUUGAAUUUUGAAUUCAUUGGGAGAGGAUUCUCUUGGUCCUUGUCAUAGAACACUUUCUUAUCAAAGGGUGUUGGUGUGGCAAAUCUUCACUGACUUAUCAAUCGGCUAAAUUGUGGGAUCUCCAUCUCAAUCUUAUUUUUGUGUUCUUCUCUUAUUUUCGUUAUUUGUUACGAGAGGAACCAAAUUCAGAAAUGAUUGUACCUUUUUCUAGAUAGGAUCGAAUUAGUUGGGCAGCUAUCAAUUGCAUUGAGCUCGUUUCCUUCUCCUCUUUCAGGAUCUAUGCUUGUUGCCUUGACUAGAAAACCUUGGUUUUCUAGGGUUUUUUCUCUCUCUGUGGUAUCUUUUGCUGCUUCUUCUAAUAGUGCAAACCAAUUUACUCUUUUCAAUUUUUAAAUGAUAUGAGGAUCAUCAGAACACUAGUUUAACUAUUUCUGUUGCACGCACAUCUUAUUUUUUUUGGCCUAACUCAACCUUCUUCCCUUGGACCAUGGGUUCUUGACUUAGGUGCCACAAAUCACAUCACUGGUAACAAAUCUUAGUUUUCUUCUUUAUCCUCUUCCGGGUAAUUUGCCUACGAUUACAAAUGGGUCUAGGGUCUUAUCUCAUGUUGGUACUAUUAAUCUUUUUCCAUCUUUAACCAUUGAUAGUGUUUUUUAUGCCCCUGGAACCCCUUUUAAUUUAUUAACCAUUAGUAGUCUAAUUCGUUCUCAUGAUUAUGUUAUUUCUUUUACCAAAAACUCUGUUCACAGGACCAGAGUUCAGGACAGAUAUUUGGCACCAGAUUUGAGUCUCAUGUCUUUUAUCAUCUCUGCCCUUGUACACAUGUUGGCAUAGUUUUGCAUACUAUCUUUCUCAGCAUCCAUACCUAUUUUUCCCUCUUUCGUUCAUUUCAUGACAGAUUUCUCACUUCCUUCUAAGCCCCUCCCAUGACUCAUGAGUUCUUGCAGCAUUUCUUUUAUUUCUUGGACGAUUUCCCUUAAAUCUUGCAUACUGUCUUCUUUGUUUUUUUUUUUUUUUCUGUCAUGGCUCUUCCUUGUUUGAUGGCCCCUCUAUCCAAAGUACUUUACUUUGUCUUCCAUGCUUUCACAUCUUCCUCUAUCCGGAAAAUUUGUUAGGUUCUUAGGUAGAGAAAGCCAAGAAAACUACUAUAAAACACCAAAGCUUACCGAAAAGAUAUGGUAUUAUUGAUUCUAAGCACCCAGGAUAGCAAGAAUGCCUCCAAGGGACAAAGCUCCCUUACAUGAUGGUAAUGAUCCUAUCAACAAUUCUCUAGACAUCCAAAAACAACUCACCACCUCGCACCCCUCCCCCGGCACACCCCCUCCCCCUCCCCAACCCCAACCCAUCCCACCUACAAACACCUCCUCCACUAUAUAAAGAAAGUCUCACUCAACCCUAACAACCCAACUAACAACUAAUUUUUUAAUUUGUUUCCUCAUAUCAUACACAUUGAUUGUCAUUUCAUUUAAGAAAAGAUUAUAUAUGGAGACAUCAAGACUGAGUUUGUCAACGCAAAUGAUCAAUUAGCAGUUAUUUUCAUUAAGUCUUUACGGAGACCGAGAAUUGAUUAUAUUUGUAAAGAGUUUGAUACAUACGAUUUAUAUGCACUAACUUAUAUAUUACGUUUUAUGUUAAUUAGAGAAACAUAGUUCCUAUGUUAAUUAUGUUAUUUUUACUAUUUAUUUAUAUUUGGCUUAACCCACAAUCUCAUUAUUAUAAUUACAUUACUCUAUACGUAUUUUUUAUACAAGGAAGAUUUAUCAUAUACCUAAUUUUACUAUAUUCGACAUUCUUGAACAUAUAUCUACUUUUUAUUUGAUAAAUUUUGAACAUUUAGAAUUAUAUCAUGUAUCAGGUACUAAAGGUCUAUUUCAUUGUGCAGGAUGAUAAAGAUGAGUGGAUGAAUUCCCAUGUAUUAACAUUUUCAGGAAUAGAUUCUUCUUACGCAUUACCUGAUAAUAUAGCUAUUAUAACAUUACAGGUAUAUAUGUCUUCAGCUUAAAGGGAUUUCCUUAUCCUCAAUAGUAUUAGUUCAGUAACAAUUGAAUUUACAGGGCUAAUACAAUGAUGGUAUCAAAACUUUGUUUUCUUUGUGCUGUGUGUGAGGAAGUGCACAUAUGUUAGGCCAUCAAGAUCAGAAGGGUGGAAACAGAGAGAAAGAGAAAGACAUAGAGAAAAAGAAAUCAAGGAACAUUCAGUUCACCAAAAAUAAUUUAUACAUAUCUCUUUCACCUUCUUGUUAUAACUAAUCGAAUACACAUUACUGAUAUAACCAAUGUUCAACAACUGAUGGCUAUGAAAACAAUAAGAAACUAUACUCCAUAAAUUUUUCUGGAACUCGCAGUACAAAUUGAAACCUGAGAAUUAAAGGGUUGAGAAAUUAAUCAAUGAAACCAUAACACGUGUUACUUGUUGUAUAACAAUAACACCUUACCCCACUAAAUGAUCUCUUUUCCUUCUAGAUAGACCUUCAAUUUUGCAACCUCUUGGUUCCUAACAAUUUAUGAAAUCUGUUGUGUUAAAAUUCUAUGGCUUCUAAUAUAUCUAUUUUCUUGGACUUUGCAGGAACUUGAAGAUGGGAGGGUUCUUCUACGGCUAGCACAUCUAUAUGAGGUAUAUCCACUUCAUCUUAUUUAGUAUUUCUCUCGACUUUUUCUUUGACUUAAGAUUUGAAAAGAGAAGUUGUAAUGUUUUAUUGGUACCAUUGCUCUUGUAUGUUUAUUUCAUGAUUUUUCUGGAUUGAAAAUAAAGUGCACUGAUUAAUACAUGAAUGGAGAGAAUGCAUUGUUUUCUUCUAAAAUAAUAAUUGCAGUUUUGUUGGAAUAAAUCAGUGAACCUAUUAGUGUUGGAGAAAACUGUUCCAAGACUUGCACAAGUUUUGUGUAGAAUGGAUUACUGCCAUGGUGAUUGUUUGCCAACUAAAUAAAUACGUCAUGGUUUUUACUUAUGAAUUUUAAGCUCAUUAGAUUAUUCAUAAUCUUUUUCUACUGUAAUUAAUAGUUAAUAGAAAAUUAAUUUGCUUCAUGCUUUGGUCCCUCAUUUUCUUGGCCCAUCAAACUAAUGCACACAGAUUGAAGAAGACAAGGAUCUCUCUGUAACGGCAACUGUGGAGCUGAAAAAGCUCUUCCCUGGGAGGAAGGUAAGUGAUAGGUUUCAUUUCAUGAGAGUAUAAAAUUGUUUUUUACACUUUUUUUAGCUUGAUUUCUAACUCAAGUUCUUUCCUUAAAAAAUAGAUCAAAGAGGUAAAGGAGAUGAACUUAUCUGCCAACCAAGAAAGAACAGAGAUGGAGAAAAAAAGACUUCAUUGGAAAGUAGAAGGCUCUAAUGGAAAUAGACAUGUUUCAAGAGGAGGACCCGUUGAUCCAAAAGAGCUAAAGGUGGAGCUUUCUCCAAUGGAAAUCCGCACUUUUAUCAUUUAUUUUGAUGCUGUUUCAGACCAACUUUUUUAUGCGAUGUAGAACAAAAUCAGUGGUCCAAGUCCUUGCUUUUGAACAAGUAUAUUGGUAUGACACAAAUAUUAAUGUUUCAAAUACUAGUAUGUUUUGCAUAAUUCCAUAUCUUGCUUGAAGAUUAGUUAUAGCCUAUUUCUUUCAUACUCUUAUCUGUGUAGGUUUUACAUAACAUGCUUAUAUUCCACUAAUCAUUCCCUAACUUGUGCAUGUGCAUCAUAUUUUAAAAUUUGUAGAAAAUCAUGUAUAGUCUAACAUGCCAUGACAUGUUUAAUAAAAUCUUUAUGUAAUGAAAAUGAUAAUUAUCAUGAAAUUAUUUGGAACAUGCUACAACAUGAAUUUAAUAAAUAAACAAAUUGUGUUGAUUGUUACAACGAGAACACAUAUUAGUUAGUCGUUACAAUCUAUGAUUGAAUAUUAAUGUUUUUUUAAACGUGUUUUUCUAAACACAUUUCAAAAUGCAUUCUGAAACGUAUCUCAAAUUUCAGAAUGUGUAAAAUUAUUUAAAUAUACUCUAGAUUAUGAAAUUUUGGAAUGUACUUUCAGAUCCAAAAGUACAUCUUAAAAUAUACAAUUCAAAAUGAUUUUUAAAUAUAUUCUAGAUUGUUCAUUUUAGAAUGUAUUUAAAAUACACAAUAUGAAAUAUGUUAAAUUUUUUAAAUACAUUAUAGAAUUCAUUUAGACUCUACCAUUGAAAAACAAUCAAAACCUAUCACAAUCGAAACCUGAUUAUGGACAUUUUGUUAUAGGAAUCUGAGUACAAAAAUUCCAAAAAGCAUUAUCCAGAAAAUUUAAGCAAUAUUCAUUCUGAAAAUUCCUUUUUCAGAAGGUAAAAACGUUAUUUUGAAAAAUUUUGGGUGUGUACAAAGAAAUUGUGGAAGUGCUAGAAGUAGAAUUUAGGAAAUAUAAAGAGGAGUAAAAGUGAAUGAGGCCGAACUGUUUUUCAAUCUUAACAUGUAAAUAUAGUGUCUCUUACUACACCCCAGUUUCUUCUUCCUGCACCACCACAAAAUCAAGAAUUCCCAAAGUACCACACAUUAAAUUAUGAUAAAAAUCCUCACUCCACCUCUAUUUUCAUAUUUUCUGAAUUGGAUAUUUGAUAUUCAACCUGAAAGGUAUAAAAAAAAUAAACAAGUGUUCUGAAAAGUAUUCCCAAAUUCAAAAAUAUCUUUUAAACCACCCCGUUUCCGGAAAGUUUUUUAUGUUCUGGAAUAGCUAUUUUAUAAGGUAUUUUCGAACAUAUAAACGAUUUCCGAAAUAAGUAUUCUUGAAAAUAUUUCCGAACCCAGAAAAUAAUUUUUGAAACAAUCAAUUCGAAAUUUUUUUUAAUAUUAUUUUUGGAAGGCAUUUUUCGUAUCCAGACAUAUUUUGCAGAUUGUCCAAAUUUCCCUUCUCCUUCAGUCGUUCACCACUCAUCCAUCUUCACGCCUUCGUUAAAGAGAAUCAUAACAAUGUUAUAUGAUUCAGUGCAGAGAUGAUUUCUCCAAUGUAUAUUGUUCCCAUGCUUGAAGGAUAGUGUCAAGGUAUGUGCAGCAGGAAUGAGCCAAUGAGAAGAGUAGGUGUGCCACGAAUGAGAGGAGGUGCAAGAAGUAGCAGGUUUGAUUGUUGGAAAAAACAAGGGAUGAAUUGAAAUGAACUGUAAUGAAGUAUAAUGGAAUAAAAGUUCUAUUUGUUAUUGUUUUAAUAUGACAGAGUGAAAAUUUUGUUCAGUUAAAUAUCAUCAUUUUCACGAAAAAGGAAGAGGGAAAUUAAGGUAAAUAAUGGAAAGGAUCUCACCAAAUGAAUCUACGCAUCCAGCAAAAAUUGGAUAUGCAUGCCUUGCAUUUUUCGUUCAGAGAAAUUUCUGGUAGAAUGUUAUUUAUGCUUUCUCCUGCACAAAGCAUUCUAUUUAAAUGGGGGCAUCUUCCUUAUAGUAGAGGUAUCGUUUGAUUCAACGUGAGCAUAGUAUUAUGUAUAAAAAGUAUAAACAAAACUAUUAUAUUACCAUCAAAUUUAAAUGAAAUUGGUUUUUGCAAACUUAAUUUUGAUGUGAAGUUAUUUGGGUACUGCAUCUGUUUUUCAUUCGAUCGUUAGCCACAAACACCACUAGAAAAUUCAGUAGCUUGGUAAUAUCAUGCUAGUCACUUGAUCAUAUGUAACUUUAUGAUACAAAGUAGUAUAAAAGAAUACACGACAAUAAUUCUUAAAGCUUUUACACUGCUUAUUGAAGUUCCCAGUAAUAUAGUGUACCUAAUGUAUGGGACAAUAAAAACAUCCUAAUUUGAUUUCGACACAAAUAUCAACAAGUAGGAAGUUUAAUAUACAUAAUGAAGCAAAUCGUAUCUUACGCAUUCUCUGGUGGUGAUUGAUCAGAAGGUCUGACAAGGUGCUCUCUGAUUUGAUCUUCAUGCUCCGUAGUGGUAUCCGAUUUGGAGGAUUUGUUUCCAGCAUAAAGAAUAUAAUGUUGAAUAAUGAAGAUAAUGUCGAAGAAUACAGACACCUGCAGUUAGUAUUGCACAAAAAAAAGUCACAAAAAAAGCCUCUCUCAACAGUGUAUGACUGGCCUAAUAAACAAGCAUAAUUUACUAGGCACAAGCUCCGUCUAGAUCUAUGCAAAAUGAAAAAUUGGUUUCUCAAUACAUGCAUCUACUAAGUAGUGAGCCAUCACUUUUGAAUAAAAAAGAAAUCAAUCUUCAACGGAAAAUAACUUCAAAAUUAGAAUAAAGAUUACAAAACAAAAAGAGAAUCAGUAUUUGAAUCACAACUGCAUGCAAAAUAUAUAAAAAAAAAAAAAAGAAAAAAAAAAACAAUUAUAACGCAAGAAAGAAGUAAAAGAAUCCUCAAGAGAGCUUCCCAUACCAGAGAUAGUAACACUUUUCCUAUAUUCCCGUAGAAGUUGACCCAUGAAUCUAGAAAGAUGGGAUUUAAAAUAAGUUCAUAUGAAAAUAUAUAAUCAAAUGACAAGAAAUAUCAUUAGCAGAGGUGAGUAAUGACAUACUUUGAUCUAUUGAUUGCACAACCAUCUGUCCAUAGUUUGCUACUCCUCCAGAAAGAUCAAGUAGAAUGUUACCAAUGCUGAAGCCAUCAGUACUUUUUCUCAGGAAGUUCAUAACUGCCUACAUUCAUAAGAAACAUAAUUACAUGGACUGCGAGAGGAUGUAAAGCAAGUCAGGCCUGACUCUGUUGAGAGAUUAGAAAAUGAAUGAUGAUAUAUAAUUUCCUUUAAUUCAUUGUUAUAAUGCACUCACACAAAAGAGAUAAAUAAGGCCCAUUUCAUCGAAGAAACAAUCCAUUCAAGUUUUCAGAGUUUAUUAUUACAGAUCUGGAGCUAGAUCAGUUACAUUUUCCACUUAAAUGGAAGGGGUCUAGGACAGUACGAUAGCUCACUUUUCCAAACCAGUCAAUUAUUUUACAUGAAGUAUAUGUCUAAAGCCCAAAUUGUGAACGAUGUGAACAAUAGAAAAUGGUGCUUCAACUAUCACUACAGGAAUAAUUUAAACUAUUAGAGGAUACCANGAAUAGAGAGAAAGAAUUGAGUUCCAAAUUUCCUCUGCCAUCUGACUCCUUAUGUUUAAUAACUUGGUUUUUCUAUCACUAGCAGGAAAGUAUUAAUUUUAAGUAGAAAUGACUAGAANGACAUCAGAAAAGAACAUGAAUAGGUUCAUUAGUANUUGGGAGCUGAUACUUAAAUUAGUUUCUGCCAUGAAAUUUUAGUUUAAAAAAAUGAUGUCAAUAACAGUCAAAAGAUAAAAAAGAAGACAAAUAAAUUUGAAAAAGAAUCCCAACCUGAGGAAUGUACUUUAUAACAGUCAUAGUUACUUGAAUUGUGCUGCAACAAAAUCAAUGUAAACAAAAAUUAGAAAAAAUUUAAUUACAUCCAAAGACUAGAGCAACCUAAUAUUUUGUAUCAACACAGAACAUGGACUGUAGCACUACAGCAAAGGUGGAUCUGAGGUAGUUCGAUAUACAGAAGAAGAUUCUAAGCUUUGUCCUAACAUCAUACCGUAAGCUGAGUCCAUGGUGGUAAGAACCCCAACACAUGAAAAAUUCAAAUGUCUUCUUUAUAAGAUUGGUCACAAAAUAAUAAAUCAUAAAGGUUCUCAAAUGAUAGCUAAUAUUCUUAAGCUGGCACACAUUAGUUCAAUAAUUCAUCCGUGCUCUCAAAUUAGAACAUAAAUACUUUCAGCCAAGUCUUCAAUUUCAUAUGCAACUGCCAACCCAAAUAAAGAGUAAACAUAAAAUGUUUGCCUUUAUUAACCACAUUAUCUACUUAGUAAUUGAUGAAAAAGAAAUAAGCUUUCUCCAAUUCUGUGAAUAGCACGCCAGCUCGAGAUGAAUUAGUGGUCUCAAGAAAGCACCGAAAAAUUUACCACAUGGGAGCUCCAUAAUUUGGUGUCAGAAACUAAACAAUAUCAAAUCUUCUUCAGUAGUAAAACAAUUAACAUCCCCUAUAAAACCAAAAGUAUAUCCACGAAUAUAUUCUAUGAGAUUAAAUUGAAGGCCAUAAAGAACGAAACAAAACCAAAAGCAUGGACAACAUACUUGAAUAUGGAGAUAAGCCAAAGCCAGGAAUGAUUUGACAAAGCAAUAAAGAAACAAACUGCUGCAAUAAGCCAAGCAACAGAGACAAUUCCAAUAGAAACUUUGGACACUUUCUGACUCCCACGCUACAAACAAACAAUUAUUAAGUUCAGUAAAAAAUCGAGAACUCGGUCCAUAGAACAAAAACGAAGAAUAUUCUCAUUUUUCAACAAUAUCAUUCUUACUUCAUAGAUUGCAAUCUGGAACAACGUGAUUGCCGUCAGUAGAACAGCAUGGAUGGAGAAAGCAACAUCAUUUGCAGCCACAGGUAUCAUCUGAAGUAGGCGGAAUUAAAACGACAUCAUCGAUCUAUAAAUGUUUAUACACACAACAAAUAUUACUUCAACUCUCAAACAAUUCACAAGUUUUCAAUCGUCAAAAUUUUCUCCAAAAAACAACAACUAAAGAGUCCUUAACAGUUCCUUCAAGAGCAGAUCCUAUUUUUGUUCUCACGAUAUGAACCACUUCUACACAAGCCAAUCGAUCAGGAAUCAUCAUUCAUUCAACUCUAAAGAUAUAAUACAUUCAAUAAACGAAACUUAUACGACAAUUUGUGAUUCAAACAUAAUUCAUAUAGGAUCUGUUUACAUAAACUUCAAUGUAACCACUUUUAGAAGAGAAAAAUAAAAUAGGUUUUUUUUCCUACAGUAAAAGUUUACGUAGAGUUAUUUAUCAUAGAGUAUUUUACAUCAGCUUUUCCAAAAAACUGAAUUUUUUAACCUAUAAAUAAGUUUAUUUUACCAUGCAGAAAAGUAGAUUUUAUUUUUUCUUCAUAUUUUCCUGGAAGUCUAAGAAAUUUAUGCAAAGAACCACUCUCUCGGAUGUGGGCAAAAUUGCCUUUCAGAGCAUGACAUGAUAUGACAUGAAUGAAACGUUGUCGUGUUCAUUUAAUUGAUAAACAAUUGAAGAGUGUUUGAGAAGGAACCUGUCCAUAACCGUAUUUAUCGAAGUAUUGCUUCUGAAUAGCAGAGCUGAAGUAGAGAGAAGCGUUGUAUAUGAGAUAGGUACUGUGCUUGGUCAGAUUCAGUAGCACGAAAUCGAAGUUGAGCCCAACCACACUAAAUUAAAAAAAAAAAUUAAUUAUAAAAUAUUUAAGUUUAAUCAAGCACAUGGAUGAUGAGAGAAAAAGAAGAUUGUACCUCCUCCUGCGAAAAUUCAAGAUGACUUGAGGGUAGAAACUGAUGGACCAGGAAACGAAAGCGAACCAACCCAGAGCCUCGUACACAACUUCGAGUUCAAACGAAUUCCACGAAGCCAUUUUCUUCGCUCGCGCAACAGCGAUCACCAACUGCGUAGGUGCGUUCCUUAAAUAUCAAAGACUAUAACGCUGACGUAAACGAUUGAAUCUAUUUUAAAUAUCUGAAAAAUUCACCAAUUACAUCAUUUCAACAGAAAAAGGUUCCGUUCUUAUUUCGUUCACCACCGUUUUAUGAAUAUUUAGUUUUUUUUUUUAUUUAUAUAUCUUAUUUUCACCAAUACUCUAAUUAAAAGGUUAAUAAUCCAAUGACUAAGGAAUUGGGCAUUUAUUGAACUUCAAGUAGAAUCAUUUGACCUUAAUUUUUGAACAAGAUAAUUUUUUUGUUGGACUUUAUUGACCUAAAGACACUAAACAAUCUAUUUCAUCCAUUCAAUAACAAAAACUGAAAUAUGGCUUUAUCUUUAAUUUUUUGUUUUUGUGCACCUCCAAAUUGUGAUACCAAAUAUGUUCUUCCACACGAAGAAAACAUCAUAAAAGGUUUCUGAAAACUCUAACAUAAUGUUCAAGCCAUGAAGAAUAUUUCAUAAGGAAGCAAUUUUAUGAGGAUUCAACUCAUAACCUUACGAUUGAAGUUAUGGAAGUCAUCGAUGCAGCCAUGUUAUUUGAGUCUAUUUAAACAAUGUUUAUUUUCUAUUUUAUAAAUCAGAUCUUUGAGAAAUCUUUUUUAAAAGAUUUUAAGAGAUUUAAAGAGAGAUUUUAGAGAAUAUUUUUGUACAUUUCCUCUAUAUUAAAUAAAACAUUUUUAGAGAAUUAAGGAAUAGAGUUUCCUCCAUGUUAUAACUUCUUUCUACCCAUUAUGAAGAACUAAAUCUCUUAAAUAUUAGAGUGUAUCUGCUUUAAACUCUCUUGUAUUUGGUAUUAUCUCUAUUUAUGUAUGUUUUUUGUUGAUUCAAAGUUUGUUAAUUGAUUUAUGCUUAACGUUGGAUGAAAUGAUGACUCCUCUUACUUCACUGGCUUAAGAUUUAGUAAGAACUAGUUUUAAGUUAUGGUCAAGUCAAUUAUCUUGUGUGCUUCUAGAUGUUAAGAAUAGAUCUAAGGUUGCAUAAGGAGAUAAAGUCUUGAUCUUAAUGUAGGUGAUCUGUUUAAGCAGUUACUAAAGAAUCAUACUAAAAGGUAAUGAUUUUAAGCUCUAAGUGUCAGGAAUGGACCUAGAGUUACACCUAAGAGAACUCCGAAGACUUGAUCACUAGCAACAUCAUAUGUAUUGAUAGAAUCAGUAUAAGAGAGGGAAAAAAGUGGCGAGGUUGAACUCUAACACAUUUUUAUCAUAUGAAAUUCACUCAUUUAGCAAUCUAAAUUGUUUUUUAAGAGAUAUCACAAUUAUUUUACGAAUCAAACUUGUUUUGUUCACGUUAAAAUCUUUGUUACUUUACAUUGAACAAUCAAACUAGUUAAAACAAAGUAUUUCUUUGUGAAAUCCUAUGGAUACAACACUUGUUAUACUAUUAACUACCUAGUAUACUUGUUGGUAUGUUAGGGUUGUUUGUUGCACUGCAGACCCAACAAUAGUCUUUAAUUUAAUUGAUUAUGUAAAUCAAUUAAUCAAGUAAAACAUAUAGCAUCGUGCGAAGAGUGCAUUUUUUCUUAUUUAGUCAAUUACAUGUUAAAUUAUUGUAGACUAAUUAUUGGAAUUUAGUUUUUAGGUGUUAAUGAUUUAAAUUACAAUACUAUUGAAUAUUUACAACUUAAAAAAAACACAAUAUAAAAAAGUAAAUAUUUUAAAUUACUUUUGAUUUUUAUUUUUAAAUUAAAAAAAAGGGGCUAGCAGGAGUUGGACUCCUUUUACCCGUUAAUUUGGCAGUUCAAUCCAACCCAUUUGCUUUGGGCAGGCUAGCGGGUUGGUCCAUGAGCUGUGGUCCACUUUGCCAUUCCUAUCCCAACUCUUACUGUAACGUGUUCCUAGUUACUCUCAUGAAUACCUGGGGUGGGUCAAUAAGUGUCGAGCUGGUCAUGGUCUCAUAAUCUUAUGUUACAAACCAUGCUAAAUUUUACAAAACAAGAUCAGCUCACAUCCCCACAAAAUCCAAUACUUUAUAGGGUAAAUAAUUUGGUUGGAAAUUAAAGAAGAAAAUGAUAAGGACACUAACAACUUUUUGUUUGAUGCUUUUAUCAUUAUACACUAAUAGCAUUUACGGUUAUUGAAUUUUCAAUGCAAAGGGAUCAAUUAGGAUUGAGUUCAUUACAAGAGAGAUCAUGACACAAGUUCCAUCUUAGGCAUUCUCGAAUGGUCUAUCUGAAGACUUGGCAUUAUCAUGUUCAGGAGAUGCCUCUAAUUUUCGUGUCUUCACAGGAUAUAACAGAUAAUGUUGGCACAUGAAAAUGAUGUCAAAGAAUACAGACACCUGCAAUGGUUCAUUUUAUGAAUAGCAAUAUUAGUUAAAAGUUCUAUUGGAUCAGAAUAACAAUCUAACAAGCAAAAUCUCUUGCAGAAAAAAAAAAUAAACACCAGAGAUAGCAGCAGUUUCCCUAUAUUUCCAUAGAAGUUCACCCAAGAAUCUGGAAAUCAAAGUUGGAUAUCAAUUUAAACCGUAAAGAAGAUAAUAGCAACAUACUCUCUUCUAACAUUGAUUUUUAGAACUUACUAAACAUUGCAAAAUCAUGAUUGAGACUUGUUUAAAGAGUGUUGUAGAGUAUGUUACUAGCAUUUUUUUAACUAUAAAUGGAACAAAAUCCUUUGAUAAAGAAGAUGACUUACGUUGAUCGAUUGAUUGCAUAGACAUUUGAGCAUAGUUAGCUACGGAGCCAGAAAAGUCGAGUAGAAUGUUAACAAUGCUCCAGCCUUCUGUACUUUUUCUCAUAAAGUUCAUCACUGCCUAUAUUCAAUAUCACAACUUACUACUUGAGAUAAAAUAGUUAACAUGUUUUAACAAACAAUAAGUUCACUUUAUGACCAAAGAAAUAUGCAGCAGUUCUUCAGAUUGUGUAUGUUUGCAUUCCAAAAUAUGCUUCAUUGAAGACAAGACUAGCAUAAUCUUACUGAUUCCUAGUUCCUAGAGCUAAAUUAUCUCAGCAAUCAAACUGAGAUAAUAUAAACACGAGAAAAAAGGAAAUCAUAAAAACUCGAAUAGGUCCUGACCUGGGGAAUGUAUUUUAUAACCGUCAUACAAACUUGAAUGUCACUGCAAGUGAAUCAGUUUCAAGAAAAGUCAGAAAGAAAUUUGUUAACACAUUCAUCAUUCAUGAUGCAUGUUAUAUGUAACAAUGGCAUGGGAAGAAACUUGGUCUUAUUAUGAUUCUCCAAUGUAAAUUUCUUAAUAAUCCACAAUAGGAAGUCAAAUUAAUGACAAUUUUCAUGUAACAAACUUAAACAGAAAACAUACGAGAAGAUUGAGAUUAGCCAGAGCCAGUUAUGAUUGUGCAAUGCUACAAAGAAACAGACUGCUGCAGAGGUCCAUGUAACAAGGAGAAUUCCAUAUGCGAUUUUAGAGACCUUCUGACUUCCCCGCUACAUGAAAACUUAACCUCUUUUAGGAUAAUCAGAAAUUCAUAACAAGAACAAUAAGCUCAAUUAGAGGGAGCAUAUUACUAACAUCAUAUACAGCAAUCUGGAACAAGGAAAUUGCUGUCAGCAAAACAGCAUGGACUGAAAAAGCAACAUCAUUUGCUGCCACAGGUAUCAUCUGAAAUAUAUCAAAAAAUGCCGAAUCACCUUCAGCUAAUACUGAAUUUAUGCAGACAUUAAACAAAGAAAGAAAAAACUUCUAGCUUUCCAUAAGUUGAAUAUGCCUGAAGCAUGACAGAAUGAAUACACACGAUAUCCCAAGAACAAAGAUAUUAGUUAUAUAAUAAUUUACAAAUUGUUCCAACCUUAAAUAUGUUUUUCAUCAUAUUUAAAGUACUCCACACUAUAUAAUCAUGAGUCUGCACAAUUUUUUUCUAUAAUAGGCAUUUUCAUGGAUUCAAACACUUAACCAAGGACAAAACUGUGCUAACCAAAAAGAACCACCGUGGACAAUCUAAGGGUCGAUAACCUAACAAUGCAGUGCAAGAAUUUGAAGUUGGAACGCAAGAAUAUCAAAUUAUUAAAAUAUCUCGAUAGGAAACUCUGUAAAGUGACAAACAUAACUUUCCCCUUUCACUUCAACACAAACUGAGAUUAAUGAAUUUAACUUCAAUAAAAAAAGUGGAUAUGAACAAACCUCUUUCUGACCAUAUUUGUUUCUGUACUGUUUCUGAACAGUAGAGCUGAUGUACAGAGAUGCAUUGUAUAUGAGAUAGGAAGAGUGUUUCGUGAAAUUCAGCAACACGAAAUCAAAGUUCAAGCCCACCACACUAUACAACAAAAGCAAUACAAAACACAAUAAAAUAGAAGCAAAAAGUCAUACGAUAAGAAACUGAAAAGAAAAAAAUUUCACAAAAACUAGUCGUAAAUGGUACCUUUUUCUGCGAAAGUUCAAGAUGACUUGCGGGUAGAAACUGAUGGACCAGGAAGCAAAAGCAAACCAACCCAUAACUUCAUAGGAGACAUGCAGCGGAACUGAAUUCCAAGCAGCCAUGAUUCUUUCCUCCUCUUGUUCAAAGAACAAACCACAAAUCUCGAGUAUAGAAAUAUACUUUAUAUAUAUAUAUAUAUAUAUAUAUAUAUAUAUAUAUAUAUAUAUAUAUAUAACUGGUUUUAACUUAUAUUAAGUGCAGUUUUGUGUUUACUCUUGAAUUGAAAGUGUUAUAAAUGUGGUAUUUUCCAUGUCAAACUCAGAGAAAAUUGAGGCAGAAGAAUUUUCAUAUAAAUACAAAUGAUUACUUUUUUUAAACUUAAACUAAUUAAGUUCACUAAAUAAAUUAAACUGUCAUGUAUACAUUUAUUACAAUUAAUUAUCUUAAUAUAUACAUUUAUUACAAUUAAUUAUCCUAAUUAAAAAAACAAUACUUACAGAUAAAUAUACAAUUGUAUAUCUUUUCUCAUUUUACAUUCCAAACAGUUGUGAUAGCGUACUCCACUGUAUACGUGUUCAUACAUUCUUGGGGCAUCCUUCGGUGGCCUUUAUAUAUGAGCGGACUCUAACGUGCUGGCAAAAAUAAUAAACUUUCAUGCAAACACUUCCCAAAGGAUAAAAGUGUUCGAAAUGUCCUUAAAUUAGUAACAGAUGGACAGAGAACGGAACAGAAAGGAGUUUAUACGUUUGGGGUUUUGGUAAUUGCAUUCUUACUAUUCUAAUCUUAAUUAAAUAAUUUUUAUGAAAAUAUAAAAAUCGUAAUAAAAAACGUGAUAAUGUCAAAUAUUUAAUAUUAAAAUAUUUUUUUUAUUUCAAAUUUUGAAUGUUAAAAAAAAAUUAUAAUUAUAUAGAUAUCAAAAUAACAGAUAACAAAUAAAAAUGAAUAAAUAAGAAUUAAUGGAUCAUUUUAUAUUAUUUAUAUUAAUUUUAAUUUUAUAUACUUAUUCAAAUAAAGAUAAAUUAGUCAAAUGACGUGGAUUGCACUUUCUGCUUGAAAGAAGAAUAAAAAAACGCCAUUAUAUUAUAGAACAUUUGUAUUAACAAUUAAAUAAAUAGGUGACUUAUUUUUAUUAUUUUUUAUUAACAAAAUAAUAAUUUUGAAGUGUAAAAUAUUAUAAUUUUAAAAUAUAAUUGAAGUUAAAUAUUAACAUAAAAUUCUAUAAAAUAAAGAUAUUUCAUCAUACAUUAUUAUUCAUAUAUUAUUAUAGAGAUCUAAAUGUGUACGUAAUAGUAAGUUACGUGAAGAAUGCACAUUGUAAUGCGUGAAGAAUCGCAUUACGUACUUUUGUUCUGGUUUAAAUUUUUGGUAAAUUAGAACUAGAAAUAAGUUUAGGCUACAUGACAAUGUAAAACUUCAUAAAAUAAUAUUUUAGAAAUGAUGAUAGUUUAAAAAUAGUGAGAUUCGAUUAUUUAAUAUUAAAUGAUUUAGUUAUAAAUAGUUUUGUUAUAAACGAGUAUCAUUAUUUUAAAAUGUGUCAUUUCUUUAGAAAUCACUUUUUUUAAAGUUCUCUACUUUCUCUCUAAGAGUUUUAACUUCUAAGUCAUUUGUUUGAUGAUCAGGAGGUAUCUAUACAAUCAUAGCUUCAAGGUUUAAAAUCUAACCAAUCAGUGUUUGUCUUAGAGCAAAUAAGUUUCUAUUCAUUUUUACCUUUGAGCUUCGGUCGAGCAUGCAUGGAAAUUGUUUUGCAUGUAUCAUUUGGCCUUCCUUUCUUAUUCUUGGUUGACCUAGAGCUCUAAGGAUUUUGUUCGUUUUCAAUUUGAUGUCUUGUAGGCUCAUUUAGAGAUUCCUUGCGUUUCAAGAAAUCGGCGAAACGUUUCUUUGAGUUGGACAGUUUAUUAUAAGGUAAGGGAAGCUAGACCUUGUCUUAGUUGUGUUUAUAGUAUGAAUUUGGUAUUUCUAUGAUUUAUAGACGUUUUAGUGAAAUUGGUGUGAUUGGGUAAAUGUUAUAUAUGUUAAAUUGAUGUUUUGAUAAUACGGUGUUGUGUACAAUUGGAGUGAUGAAACGAUGAUGUUGGAUAUUGUUAUAAUUGUGUAUGAUAAUGAUGUUUCAUUUUUUAAAACUGAAUUCAAAUGGUUGUUGAAAUUUUGGUUAAGUCACUUAGGUUUCAAGCUCAAAAAGAGGGGAUUUUGGUUAGUGAAAUUGAGAAAUAGGUAUGAAAGUGUUAUGGUAAUUGAUUUGGUACUAUCAUGAGGUAAAUUGGGACUUGGUUGGAGGGCUAGAUGGUUGAAAACUGUUAUGUAUGAAAGGGAGGGUUUGUAGUUGAAGUUUUCAAGUGUUUUUGGAGUAAAAAAGGGGUUUUUAGUAGUGAGAUUUUGGAAUAAUGAGUAUAAAUUGUUUUGGAAAGUUAGAUGUCCAUUAUUAUACCUAUUAUGACUUGUUUAGGAAAUAAAACCAAUAAAAUUUGUUAUGGAAGUGUUCAUGGCUUCAUAAGUUGAGUUUUUAAUCCAUUUUAGAGCUUUUAAGGAUUGAAAAUGGAAAGUAGGAGAGUUGGGAUGAAACUGAGGUAUCAGAGUGUACUAGCAAGUGUAUUUAGACUUGAUUAUGCAGGUUGUAAAUUGGUAUGGAGGUUAGAAAUUGUAGAAUUGAGUUUGGGUAGCUUAUAGAAGUGAAAUUGGGUUUUAAUGGGUCGUUUUAAGUUACAACAUUGUUUUCAAAGUUUUCUUAAGGUUUGGAGGGUCCUAGAGGACUUUAGAAGUUGGGGGUAAAGUGUUCAAAGUGAGAAAAUUGAGUUUGGUAUCUACUAAUACCUCUUGGGCACCCCGGGCGCCACUAGAUGACACUACAACAGUUUUGGAGAGUUUUUGGGGUUUUGGUUAUCCGUUUUGAACGUUAUUUAGGUUGUUUUGGGAGGUUUUGGACCCUUCCAGAGUUGUUGGUGAGGGUUUCAAAGUUGUUUUCCUUACCUAAAUAUGAGUAUCAAGAUGCCAUGAAGAAAUGUUGUUAUUGUGUGAUUUCUGAUGACUUGUAUGGGUGUUUCUAUUUCUUUAAUGUAUGAUCAGUAUUCUCAUGUAUUGGUGUACUAUGUGAAUGUGAAAAUGUAUAGAAAUAUGUAUGAUUUCAAAUUGUUUUCAAGGUUGGAAAAGAGAAUUCCAAGGAGGAAUGUCUUAUUAGGGGAUUCAUGUGUAUAAAUAGUAUAAAUUGUAAGAAGCUAAUAUGAAGUUAUCCUGACACUCUAAUGAUCAUCCAUGCUCAAUUAGAGAGUGACGAGUCAUGUCGUGAGAGGAGCAGGAGGUCCUAGCCUUAAGGCCUUUCUUCAUGGUGGCAAAGGGCAUUUUCAGGACUAACCUUGUGUGGAAGCUUUGAAUGGGUCAGCUUUUCCACCACACAAGUGCAGAACCUUCCAUGCCUCUACAUUUAUAUUAUUUUGUGAAGGGUUUGGCCAAGUCUGAGUCAGUGGUGUGAAUGUGAAAGAUGUUUUGAUAUGUGCGAAUGGUGGGAGAUGUUAUACUAAUUGUGUGAUUGAAAUUGUAUGUUGAAUUCUUUUUCUAUGUUAAAUUGUUUUAUCACUAGCUUACCCUUGCUUUUUUGUGUUUUGUCUGUCUGUUGUUGUUUUCUCUUUUGCAAUGAUCACCUUAACCGGCAUGAGCUUAGGAAUGGGACAUAUUUUCAGUUGAUUCAGCGGUUGCUUGAGAUAGAAGCAACAUGAUAGAUACUUUUUUCUCUUCAAGGGUAGAAUCUUUUGCUCUAUUAGUCUCAAGUUCCUUGUGAGUUAUCAUAUAUGUACGUUUUAUUUUAGUAGUUUUACACUAUGAAAAUGAGAUUUUACAAUACUAAUAUUUGUUUAUCUUUUUCUUAUGUCACGUUAGUUAUUUAUUGGUAAAAGUCUCAUAAACUUUUAAUACCAGUGAUCGUUAGGGAAUCUUGUGAACAUGAGAAUACUAGAAAAUUGAAAAACUAAUUCAUGGAUUUAUCUGUCCUUUAUUCAAGGUAAGUGAAUAUUUUUAAGAUUAUCACAAAAUAUGGUAUUAUAUUCAAGUAAAUAGUAUAUUCAAAUAUUAGAUCGUUCUAUACAUGAUUAGUUAAGUCAUAAAGUAGAUACUAAACAUUAAACUCUAUUCUUAGCUAGACUUAUCAAAUAAAGCUCUAACUAUAACAACAUUACGCAAUACCUUAGCUUUAAGCCAUUUGAGGUGAAAAGGCUGCAAUUUGUCUCACUUUAAUGAAUAAGGAUUCAUUUUGAGAUCUUAAUGGUACACUAAAAAAAAGUAAUACAACAUCAAUGAAACAACUUAAAAAAGAUAAUUUGCUUAAUAUAGUUUUUAUUAGAUCUUUGUGUUAGUAAUUAGCAAACUAUAUAACCAACCUGUUGGAUAAGUUUUAUCCCUUUAGAAGACCAAACUUAUAAUAGUGAUUUACAAUUUGGUUAUGGGACAACUUAAUUGUCAUAAAGAAGAUUUUAUGUUAAAAGAUAUGUAUAAACAUUGAGUCUUUAUAAAAUCGAACCUUGAGGGUGUGGGUCAUAAUUCAUAAUUAGAGUCUAUAUAAUCCAUUUAUAAUGGUAUAUAGUCCCUUAACCUGGAGUCAAACUAAGCGAAAAGGUUUAAAUAAUGUUACUUUGGAUGCUUCUAUCAAGACUCUAAAAUGUUGUAUCAUUUUUGGUAUAAGGACUCCCUAAACAUCAUGUCUUCUUGAGUAUCUUUCAACAUGUCUAGGCUGGAUUGACACAUUGUCUGAGUGAUAACUUAUGGCAAAUUUCCAUGUAGUGUAUAUAGUUUUAAUAAAUAAAAUGUCUUUGGCAAUUUUGUUUUUGUUUUUUUUUAAAAAAGGAUAGGUCAACCUUCAAGAUGCAUAUCUUUUGGAAAAUUGGGUGGACGCAUUUGUCCAUAGUUCUUUUUGUUAUAGAACCUUAGUGCUUUCUUGUUGAGACUAACACAAAGAAGAUUUUUUAUGUUUGUUUAUUUUAGACAUUUUAUGGCUUCUAAAGGUCAGACAUGUGGGAGACGUAAAUUUAUAUCUGGUUAUUUCCCUAGUGUAAGUUUAUGUCAUAUCGCCAAUAACUCUGACAUAAAUUUACAUUGGAUUUCUUUACUCUUAUGUAAAUUUGAAAUAGUUAAAAAAUUUACAUUUCACAUUUUGUGUAGUCAUACGGAAAUUUACAUAUGUUAAUACUCUAUCAUAUAUAAAUGUAAACCUAUUAAUGGAUAGCCAUACAUAGAUUUAUGUUUUGUUAUAGUGUUAUGUCAAAUGUAAAUUUACGUCUAGCAAUGCAAUAUAACAUGAUUAUAGGGCUAUAAAAAGAUGGGAGUUUGAGGAUGUGCAUAGAUUGUAGGGCUAUAAGCAACAUAACCAUAAAAGUAUAAGCAUCUCAUUCCUAGAUUAGAUGACUUACUUGAUGAGUUACAUGGUGCCACCAAAAUUUCCAAGAAAGGCUUGAAGAGUGAAUAUAAUCAAAUUAGAAUCAAAGAAGGAGAUGAAUGAAAAACUACCUUUAAGACUAAGUUUGGACUAUAUGGGUGGUUAAUCAUGCCUUAUGGUUUGUCCAAUGCACCUAGUACCUUCAUGAGACUCAUUCAUCAUGUGCUUACAUAAUUCUUAGGCAAGUUUGUAAUGGUCUACUUUGAUGACAUUCUCAUAUAUAGCUUGUAUAAGGAAGAGUAUGUGCAUUAUUUAAGGAGUGUACUAGAGACCCUAGGAUUUUAUACUAGGGAUCCCAAGGACAGAGAAAGGUAGGGAUUAUAUCUUUGUGGUGAUGGAUAGGUUUUUAAAGAUAAACUAUUUUAUCCCAUGUCAAAAAGUGGAUGAUGCAAGCUUAAUUGCAAAUCUCUUCUCUAAGGAAGUAGUAAGACUUCAUGGCAUCCCUAGAGCCGUAGUAAGUGAUCAUAGUUCUCAAGCCACUUUUGAAGGACAUUGUGGGGGAAAGCUUGGAACUAAACUUUUAUUUUGUACCACAUAUUACCCCCUAAACCGAAGGUCAAACUGAUGUGGUUAAUAGGACUUUGGGUUAAACAUUUAGGUGCAUGGUAAUCCAUAAUCAUAGGAAGUGGGAAGAUCUUCUUUCUCAUAUAGAGUUUGCAUAAAAUAGAGUGGUGUACUCUAUUACUUUACACUCUCCCUUUGAGAUUGCCUAUGGGUUCAAUCCCUUCACACCUUUAGAUCUCUUUCCCUUUCCCACUUGUGAGGCAUGGACUUGCCAAGAUGGAGAAAAGCAUGCUAAGAUGAUCUAAGACUUACAUGCUUAAGUCAAGGGUAAUAUAGAAAGGAAGGUAGGGCAUUACCAAAGGUUUGCCAAUAAAGGUAGGAAAGAGGUCACCCUUAAAGAGGGUGAUUGGGUAUGACUUCACUUGAGGAAAGAAAGGUUCCCUACUCAAAGGAAUUCCAAACUCCCCCCUAGAGGGGAUGACUUUUUCCAAGUAGUUAGGAAAAUAAACUAUAAUGCUUAUGAGUUAGAUUUAUCCCUUGUUAUAACAUGAGUCACACUUUUAAUGUGGGUGAUCUUUCUCCUUUUGAUGUAGGGUUUAAGAAUUCGUGGCUCAAUUCUCUCCAAAAAGAGGAGGAUGAUGAGUUCAAGAAUCACCAUGAAUGAUAAAUAUUAGGGUUUAACAUUAUAUGGUGUGUAAGUGAAUAAGCAAGUUCAAGAAAGGUUCCCAUUGAACAUUAAGAUAACCAAGGUUAUCUAGAUUGAAGGUUCACUUUCAGUACUCUAGAGAAGAAGAGAAUUUUAAUUAAAAGAAACUAAAAACAAGAUACCAAAUGGAACAUAAUAUGUGAAAUAAUAGGAAAAUACUAGAGGGGGUGAAUAGUGUUUUAAAACUUUUUCGCAAAACAACAUCUAAUGGAUUCUCAGAAGAUAAAUGAUUUAAAAUAAGAUGUUUAGAAGGUGGUUUUAUGAAGGGCAUAUAAAGGAAAAUGUUUUUAAGAAGCGAAGCAAUAAAGCACAAAUUUUAUACUGGUUCACUCAACCUAAGCUACAUUCAUUUCUCCCUUUAGAACUUUGAAGAGGUUCCACUAAUCUUCAAUAAAAUUACACAAGUUUUACCUCUCCAAGUUUACAUCGAGUAUUCACACCACUCCUAGUUCACGUAGUCAACACCACUAGUUCAAGUUUAACCACUCCUGAUAUACAAGUAUUCUAACCAAUUCUGGUAUCAACCUUAGACAACUAUUUAGACUAUUUAACUCAACUAUGUUAAACACCAAGUGUUUUAAUUUUCUUUACAAUGUACAACACAAUCAGUGUUAAGAGCAAAUACAGAUGGGUAACUCUCAAAAGGAGGAUAAAAACAAUACAACAAAGUUUGAGAUUUUGCUAAGGUUCUUUCUCUUAGAAAAUUUUGCAUUAGACGAUAUAACAACAAAGUAAUAACAAGCUUGUAUGAGUGUUCAAAAGUUCUCAAUGUUAUGCUUCUUAUCUUCUCUUCAAGCUUCAGUAUAUUUAUAGCUUUUGUUGAGAAAUGACCGUUAGAUAAAGAGGUAGACUUCAUGUAGAACUGGUAGCCUUUUUAGGUGAGAAGUCAGACUCAAUCUACUUUGCAAAGGUACAAUGAUUUUCCAUAGCUUUCAUCAAAACAUAGCUUGUACAAUGUGUCAGAGUAUAAGUUUUCAAGGGAAACAUUCCCAAAAUAUUUUUCAUAUCUUUAAACGUCUUUAUCUUUGCUACAGUGAUUUUGAUAAAGUCUUUGUACUUUUGUGAUCUGCACAAAUAUCAAGAAUAAUGUAUACAUGCAUAUAAGCACUUUAUCAUAUAUACAUUAAAUAUUUUGAACGUUGAUAAGCGUUAGGUUGUAUUACGUGUUUAAUACAUUUUAUCAUUUGUCAACUCAUUAAUAAAUGCAUCGUUUAAUAAAACAUUCAACAUAUGAAUAUCAAAGGGUAUAAAUAUUAGAUGCUUAUAUUGAAAAGUUGUUUGAGAUAUGUAGUGUUUAACGACUCUUGUUAGACGAUACAUUUUAUAAGACGUUUUCUUGAAUUAAUACUAUUUGAGUAAAACAUAUUUUAAGCUUCAGUAUUAGCAUAGAGAUAGACACUUAUGUUAGUAAGGUGCUAUUUGUUAAAACGAUAUUUGUAACACAUAUCGUCCAUUGGAUGAUUCUUUAAUAAAGAUGCAUCCUUUCAUUAGACACUGUUUAUAAAGCUUUGUCUAUCAAGCAAUAUAGUCUAGAAAACGUUGUUCCGAACUUGUUUUUAUUUAGAAAGGAUCUUUUAAAAUAUAUUUCUUUUAAACAUUAUUUCUUUAAAACAAUAUUUCAUUCAGAGGGAUAUUUCAUUUAAUGCUUUUUGUUAAACUUGAGCCUUUAUGCAAAAGUUCUCCAACAUGUAUGCUCGAAAACAUUCCUGCUUAAGAGUAGUUCUAGAGAUCAUGUGACUAAGAUGGGUAGAUUCACCAUCUAUCAUCUGAUGACUGAGGUGUCUUUCAACCUGCUACACAUGAUUCUUAUCCACUUCGUCCAAUCCAUCAAGGACUUGAGCAAGAAGGUGUACAACUACUGUUACACCUAAUUAGUCUAUAGAUUGAUUGUUGAUCGGAAUGUUCUUAAGCAUCUGAUGUUUGAAAAUGUUCAUGUUCCCGUAAGGAACCAUAUUGUAAUGAGUGGUGCCUAUUGUGGCCAAGUAUUCAACAUAAGCAACAUCAGAUAUAUGCAACUGAAAGCAAAGAAGCUAGAAAAGAUCCCUCCUUUGGAGAUUGUGAGGAUUGCAAACAUAAGGAGCAAUAUACCAAAUCAUCCUCACAUGGACGUAAUGAAGAAAGAAUCCCUAAGAGUUACAGGGUUCAACAAGACACUAAAUCUCUUGAAGAUGGAUAUGAAGGGUUGCCAAGCCCUAAGGGAUUACAAAAGACAGAGGCUGCUAGAAAAGGAAAAGGAAGCAACUACUAUUGUUGAAGCAUCCCCUUCAUCCUCUGAGGAAGCAGGGUCUGGUCAACCUUUCAACCCUACAUCAAUAAAGGCUCAAUCAUCCAUAGGUGGAACAUCUUCCAAAAAAUCUUCUUCACCUAAGAAAUGUCCUGAAGAGAAAUCAUACUCUAAUGAUGGACAUGCUUUUACUACUGUGAAGAAAUGUGCCGGGAAACACCCCUCAACAUUGAAAGGAGUAACCAUUGCAGAACCCUCUCUAAAAAGGCCUAAAUUGGUCCUUAAACAUUCAUCUCACAAGCGUUUAAAGACACAUCGUUUGGACCCCUUACAACGUCUGACAUCCCUUUUCCACCUCCCAACCAACCUUCCCAAACACUAUCCACUCCUCCCACUCAAGCCCAACCCUUCUCACCCCCACACAUACCCUUAACUAAACCCAUAUCACCUAUACCGUCUACACCUCCAACCUAAACUCCACCAUCUUCACCUCCUCAAACCACAACUCAAACAUCACCACCUUCACCACUUAGACAACCUUCACCCCCUUCAACUGACAACUAAGAUGACCAACAAACCAUAAUAACCACAACAACUGAACCUCCUAAAAACAUUCUUACCCUUAUCUCUCACACCUUCGCACACACCUCCAAACCCUAUAGACACUUCAACUUCCUUCUCUUAUACCUACCAUCAAGCCUCUCAUACGUACUUGAACCCAUACCAAAAGUCCACCAAAACCUACCACAUUUUCCACCCUCACAAUAGUCUCCUAAGUACUGUACAACCCUUUCUACACCCUACACAAAAAGCUAUCACCACACCUCAUCUCAAGACUACCUUCACCUCCCUCUAAACUCCAUUGUAACCCUUCCACCACCAACUUGGACACAUGUACACCAUCCCCACCUACCUCACCUGACACCUCAAAACUUUCCCCUUGGAACAUCAUAGUUGAGAGACCCAUAAAAGUAGCCCUAAGGUCACCCAACAAGCCUCCACAACCCAUCCACCACAAACCCUUAACGAGGAAGCAUAUAACAAGAAAAUGAAGAGCUUCAUCUGGCUUUUGAAAAAAUUUUGGAAGAAGCAUCCAACAUUGGAUUCUUUCAACCUGGUGAUGUCGGUGUCUAUGGCUCUCAAUCCAUUGUCUUAGCUCUACCAGCUACUCAUCUAGGAUUGAACCUACUUCCAGAAUUUUUCAAGCAGUUCUUUUUUAUGGUCAUGCAUCACAUGUUUCACUUUAAAUGUUUGUGAAACCUGAUGUCAUAACACUUCGCAUGCCUGCUCUUGACGAGAUGUCACUGAAAAUGAAGAAGAUUGAAUUGAUUAAGGAUGUGUGCCCUACUCUUACAUGUCUACUUUUAGCCAAUCCCAAAAAGACUUGAAAUUCUAACAUUGCAAUAAGUUUUAAUAAGUUUGUUGAGAAAAAAAUAUGUGGACUUUUAAAGAUUCUUUGACACUCAAGUUAAUAAAAAUUAGUAAAUAAUAUGAUAUUAGUAAAUAAUAUCAAGUAAAAAAAGUAGAUACUUAAGUGAUGUUGUAAUUAAAUAUUUAUAAACCUUUUAAGCUUAUGAAAGAUAAUUUAUUAUAUUAAUAUAAUAUAGAUAUCUCUUAAAACCAACUUGUCUUCCACACAUUUUAAAAAAUAGGAAGUUUUUUAUUAUUUUUAGAUAUAUAAAUUAGGUUAAGUAUGAGCAAUGGAAAACUAAUAUUUGUAAAUUAUAUAAAAGGACAAAAUGUUUUUUCAUCCAUAAUAAUUAUAUAUAAAUAUAUAUAUAUAUAUAUAUAUAUAUAUAUAUAUAUAUAUAUAUAUAUAUAUAUAUAUAUAUAUAUAUAUAUUAGAAAUUUUCAUUUUGAUUUACAUAAUUUAUAUUUAUAUUUUGUCUUUGCUCAUAUUUUAAAAUUAAAAAUUAAAAUUAAAAGUAAAUUAUGUAAAUAAGUAAAGUGACUACUAUAUAAUUACUCAUUAUUAGUAUUAUUUUUUCCUUUAAUUAUAUAUAGUGUUGUUAUCCAGAUUUUAAGUAUGAAACUGUAGAUAGAUAGUGAGAUCCUAAAAUAAUUGGAGUAUUGUUUGGAAAAUACUAAUUAUAUUUAUAUAAUAUUAUAGAUUUAUGUUUUUAUAUAAUAAUAUUUAUAUAGAGAAUAUAAUAAUAAUAUAAUAAAUAGUAAUAAAAUAAUAAAUAAUAAUUAACCUAUCAAAAUUUAUUUGCAAUGUACAAAUAUGAUCAUAUAUAUAUAUAUAUAUAAAAGAUAUUUCAUUAUUAAUAGAGUUAAAAAACUUUAUUAAACCGUGCUCAAUCUUUAAUAUUGAGCGGAUAAAAAUUUAAACACAUGAAGGGUCCUUUUCACUAUAAAAUAAUGCAUAUAAUUUUAUUUUAAUUAAUUUUUGAUCGUAAAUUUAUUGUUUACAGUAUAAAAAAAAAAAGUAGAAAUAAAAGUAAACAAAGGUGAAAGUAUAAUAUAAAAUGAAAAAGGUUCUUUUUUUUUUUAAUAGCAUUUUCUUAGUUGAUCUUCCUGAGUCUGAGAUUUGAUUUUUCUAGUAACAUAAAGUUUCAAUUGUAGAUGGAGUGUUUUUUAAUCAUAAAUUGGAGAUAUAUUUUAUCCCAGCUUAUCCUUUGGGAGAAGAUUAUUUUGAUGCCAAAAAUUUCCAAUUAUCUUAAACAAUAAGCUGUAGUUUUUUUUUUUUUUUUUCAUUUUUGUUUUCUUUCCAAAAAUAAAAUCAAAUAAAAAUAUGUAACAGAAUGGAAGCGAAAAGCAAAACAUUCCACUCUUUAAAUUUUUCUGAGAAAAAUAUAAUAUUAGAAAUUCCAACUCUCAGAUUUUCGAUUUAAUUGGAUAGGAACGUUGGAAGAGCAGAAUCGGAAUCUGGUUUUGUGCAGCUGUUGUUUCACGAUCAAAACAAUGUCAUCUCCGGAUGUUGUCUCGCUAUUGGAGAGUUCGAAGGAGCUCGAUCGGGUAAGGAAAGAACAAGAGGAGAUUCUCUCAGAAAUCAACAAGCUCCACAAGAAGCUUCAAACGAGUCAGUUAUCUCUUAUUCAAUACUUUUAUUUUUAGCUGAUUUUUGUUUUUUCAAUAUUGCAUUUUCGUCUUUUUUUUUUACCUGAGGUUCUUAAUGUUUAUGUUUGUUUGUAAAUCAGGUGUUUCUUUCUUCUUUUUAUUUAUUUUUAUCCAUUUUAGUUUUGCAUAAAUUGAAAUUAAAAUAUAAAAUUAUAAAAAAGAACUGUUUUGACUGUGUUGGCUGUUUCUUUUGUGGAGUUACAACUUUUAUUAACCUCAAAAACGGCCUUUGUUUUAUGUUGUUUUUUGGGUUGAGAUUUUUUGUUGAAAUUGCUUUUAGAAAUUUGAAUUUCACGAACAUAGAUACUAACAUGAUUGUUUGUAUUUCAUAUAUAAAAAAAUUGAUUUGCUUCUGUUGAUUGGUAUUAAGAUGAAAUAUUGGACAGGAAAGUCUAUGAGAGAAAAUUGUGUGAUAAACAUACUUGUCCAGUAUAAUAUGGUUGUGGCAAAUGUUAUGAAAAUCAGUAGAAUUGCUAGUGUGAAAAAAAUGGAAGUCAGCCCCCUUUAAAAGGACAGAAAAAUACAUAAGGAAAUGUUUGUUAUCACAAUCUGAAUUUCAAGUGGGACACUGCUAUUAAUGUGUUUUAAAGACACUUCCAUGCGGAAGUUAGUUCCGACUGUCAUCACAAUGUACGGGUAUAUUAGUGAGAAUAAUGAACAAUGUACGGGUAUAUUAGUGAGAAUAAUGAACGCCCUUGGUAGGAUCUUUGGAUAUCCAUAACGGUAUGAGGAUUGCAGGGUUGAGUGGUGUUGAGAAUCGACGUUUUGAUAUUUUCGUGGUAGUAUACAGACUUCAGUUUGGGCUUGAUCUCACAUGGCUGAGCAGAAUCUAGGUUUCAGUUUCAUGACCUGGAUUUUCAUCUGAGUUUGGAUGGGAGCCCUACAGCAACUUAAUGGCCAUGCUAACAGUGGUUUGAGUCAAGUAGAUAAAAUAUUAAGAGAAACGUUAAAAAUAUACUUUACUCUAAGAUAACAUUGAUUGAUCAUCAAUAUAACCUCUAACAGACAUCAAGUUGUGGCAAUGGGGCAAGACUGGGUUCUUGUUGCUGAUUAUUAAUAUCCAAACUUGAAAUGGAAUAUGUCAUGCUCUAAAGCCUGUGAAAAGUGGACAGCUUUGGCCAAGUUAGAGAGUUCAGCAAUAAAUUAAAAGUUUUUUAAUGUUUUCUCUCGUUGUGCCUGCCCAUUUCUUGGCUUAUUUUAUGAACCUUUGCAACUAUGGUUGUCAAUCUCAAAUUAACUCCUACAAUUUUGUGAUUUUUAAUCGUCAAGCUCUCUGUCAAAUUCUUAUUUUGGUUAGGUCAGGCAUAAAUGCAGAAGUAAAAAAGCGAGUCUAUGUAUUUGAAAUCAACUUUAACUUUUGUCGUCAUUGAGCCCAAUAUGUAUGAUAGGGCUUUUCCUUGACUCAAAGGAUUUGAUGAAAUUAACUUAUGUUUUCUCUUUAAUAGCUUUUUUUUUUCUUUUAUGAAUUUACAUAUAAUUUGGCUGUUUAGUUGUUUGAUCUUUUUCAGUAUUAAUUUAUGUGUACACUUUGUUGUUGUUUUGCUAUUUUGUUUUAUUGUAAAGUUGAAUUAUUGAAUUGUUGACAUGUAAGAGUAUUUUUUGAAGCCUAUAUGCUAUGAAAUAAGUUUUUUAAUAAUAUUUUUUCUAUGAAGUAAACUUGAAAGUUUACAAGUUAACUCUACAAGUCAAGUUUAUAGAAGUUACACGCGUUUAUAGAAGUCUGUCAACAAGUCUUUGAUAUAUUUCUUAGUCUCCUGCAAUAUCCUCCUCUAUACUUCCUAACUUCAUGUUUGGAUCAAUUAGAGUACUAGUCGGUUUGCAAGAUGGUAAAGUGGGUGUUGGGUUUGUUGGGUGCAUGUUUUUGUUCCCUUUCUAAGGGCAAUUGGAAGAUCUGGGUUUUGGUGUACCUGUGCUUCUAAAUUUUCAUAUAACAGAAAUACAAAAAUUUAUAGGAUUACAAAUAGUUACCUCAUGUAAUGGUGGUAGGUUGGAUUCUUGGACAUGGAUAAGUUUUGGAAUGACCUUUUCUCUCCUUGAUUUUCCCAAAUUUUCCACCCUCAUUGGAUGUAGGCUUCAGGUGCAGGUUGAGCUGUAGGUUGAGGUGCAACUUUUGUAGGUUUAAGAGGUUUACAUGUAGGUUCCAAUGUCAAAUUUGGUAGUUUGAGAGGCUCAUCUUCCUCUCUCAUAUCUUUCCCCAGAAUAUGAGGUUGCUUGAAGUAGCUCUCUUGUUCAUUGAAGGUGACAUCUUUUGAUACAAUUGUUUGGAUGGUGGGUGAUAACAUUGACAGUCUUAGGAUCCAAUUUUCUCCUUCUAUUACUAUGAACAUGCUCAAAGAAUACACACCCAAAUAUUCUAGGUUGAAGUUUAUUUAUAGGGUCCAUGUAUGGGUAGAAUGAGGAUAAGACUUUCUUGGGACUCGUUGAUCCUAAGAUUUUGAGGGCAAUCUAUUGAUGACAUAAGUGACAGUAAAAAGGGCUUCUCCCAAAGAAUAUGAUAUGAAAAUGUAGAGCUCUAGUUUGUCCUAAUAAGUACCCAUUUUUCCUUUCAACAAUGUCAUUUUGUUGAGGCAUGUUAACACAUGAAGAUUCAUGAAUUAUCUCACUCUUUUUGGAAAAAUAGAGUUGAACACAAGAUUAAAGUAGUCUUUAUCAUUACGAGACCUAAUUCUCUUAAUAUUGACUCUAGAUUUAUUCUUAAUCAUUGUGACAAACUGAAAAAAGUAGCACUAACCUUGUGUUUCCAUAGGAAAACCCAAGUCACUUGAAUACAAUCAUCUAUAAAGGUUAUAAACUAUUUAUCACCUAAGAUAUUACCAAUAUUAGCUGGACUCCAUACAUUAGUAUGAACAAGAUAUUGCUAAUGAAAAAAUUUGUGCACUUGUGUUUUUCAAACUCACACACCUCACAGUGGAGAGCUUCCACCAUUAAAUUCUUAAACAGCCAAGGGAAAAUAAAUUUUAUCACUUGAAAUGAAGGAUGUCCCAGCUGACAGUAGUAUAGUUGAGAUUUCUCUUAACUAGUCAUGAUGGAUUAAGAUAUGAGGGAGUGGGUAUUGAUAGGUUGAUUAGGGUCCCCUCUGUAGUAAAGGUCAUUGCAUUAUCUAGCAUGUCCAAUUAUCCUCUUGAUUUGUUGUCCUGUAAAAUACAAUAAUUAAUAAUUGCAAUGGAAAGAUAUUGCCAGAUCAUGAUAGAUAAUUUUUUCCAUUUAGUUUCUCGGAGGUAAUUGAUAGACUUCCUGAGAAGGAAAGAGUAUUGUCAGACGCCAUCACUGAAGAAGACGAAUCGCACUAGCGAGGAACAAGAAAACCCCAAGGGUUUAGACAGACGGAACUGUGCCGACGGCAGGCGACAGCGGACAGCGGCACCAAAUAGAUGAUACAAGACAGAAACCAGAGCCGGAUCGACCAACUCUUAUACCAAAUUGAAUAUAGUGAAAAUUGUAUAUUAGAUUAAUUUUCCUUGUGUUGAAUAUACACAUAGGUCCUCUAUUUAUAAUAGAAGAAAUAUAGACUAAGUCUAAAAUACAAAUAAAAAAUAAUAACAAACUAACUAAAGAUAAAAGAUAAAUAUAAAAUAAAGAUAAUAUAUCAAACAUAUGGUCAGCGGCACUAAAGUCUAGUUGCCAAUACUGACAAAAGGAGUAUCUAAAGCAUUAAGAGCAAAAGAAAAUGGAAAUUUACCAGAAUAUGUUAGAGAGCAUGUACCUGUGUUCUUGAAAUUCUGCAAUUCUAUAGCAGUUCGGAAUUUAUUCCAAGUUUCCAUUCCAGAAUUCAUGAUUUCAGCCAUAUACAUGGAUUAUGCAGCAAUAAAGGCUGCAAUAGUGUUCGAAGUGGUGCAACAAUAAAGGCUCCAUAGGCAUAGGAAAAGCUCAGUAAUGAAGGGUGUAACCCGCUUCAAUAUGGGGUCAUCAGUAAAGGCUGCAAUAGGGACUAGAGAGGUGUAACAAUGAAGGCUGCAUUUUAAGGUUGAUAAAGACAGUCAGAUACUCAUAAAGAUAAGGAGUUCUGAAACCAUCUCAUAAUUUAGAAAGAAAUAAUAUAUUUCUUAUAUAUUUCCAUAAUGAGAUCAAUGGACCUAUAAAAACAUGGGCCUGCUGUUUAUUUUGUGAGCUAAUUCUAGGGGAACUAGUCCCCUUGUAGUUAUGAGAUUGUUUAUAAAUUUAUAAUACUAGUUUUAAUAGCAAGAUACAGCUAUGAUAAAGAUUAAAAAUAAAGCAAGAAUAAAAUAAAAAAUUCCUAAAACACACAAUGAGCAACACUGUUUUGACAAAAACAAACAAUCCUUUGAGUUUGAGAAGUAAUCUAAAAUCAAUAUUUCCAUUAUAAUUUGGGUAUUUGAUAAAUGUUCCUUUAAAGACGAGACAGUUUGCCAACAAAUGCAAACAAUUUAAUACAUGAGAAAUAAGCUUGUUAAAGAAAUAUUGAUUAUUGAAGAAAAGUAUAUAUUACAGCAACAAAACACUUAUUCCAAUUGGUAAAAUCAUUCAUGUCUUCACCAAAGAGCUCACACAUUUGUCUUGGUUUAAUAUAGAGGUAUAUCUACAAUCCUCCCCUAUUCUACAAUUUAAUUUUGUCUCCCCAAAACAAAUUGAAUUUUAGCACAAAGUAGGAGGUCUAGAUCAUUAUGCACAUUUCAGGGACAAUGGCACUUGAGUUAGCGAACGUGUGUGAGACAUGAUACAAAUGGUUUGUGAUAGGUUCUUGUAAUCAAGAACCUAUGGAAAACACUUGUAAACACACAAAGAACAAUUUCUCUGAAUUGUGUAACCUCCUUUUAUUGCAAAGAAUCAGAAAGAAUGGUGCUUACAAGGUAACCCGAGAGCUUAACCUCUCUCCAAAGAACAACAAGAGUUCCCGCAAAACAACAAUACUCCCAAAAGUCCCCGACUAAACUCCCUACGCCCUCUUUUAUACAUUCUGCUAACAGAAACUAACAGAACAAACCCCCUCAAUACCUAACUGCCCUGGCAGUUAGGUCCUGUAACGUUUCUUUUCCUUCUAUAUACAAUUAAUUCCCUAACAUUACUCCCCUCUCCUCCAANAACCUUGUCCCCAAGGUUAAAUUCCGGAUAUUGCUCUUGUAUAGUAGCCACAUCUUCCCAUGUGGCACCCUCUUGUCCUCCUUCUUGCCACUCUAUCAACACCUGGGGUAUUUCUUCCGAUUCCAACUGCCUUGUUCUUCUCCCUAAGAUCUUGACUGGCCAAAACAGGGGUUCGUCCGCUUGUAACUCAGCUGGAAGUUCCUUUUCAACCUUCUUCUCACCCACUGCCUUCUUGAGUUGUGAAACGUGGAAUAUUGGGUGUAUUCUUGCCGCCUCAGGUAAUUGUAAACGAAACGCUACUUUCCCCACCUGUUGUAACACCUCAAAAGGUCCAUAAUACCUAGCAGAGAGCUUCGGAUGCAACCGUGUUGGCAUGGAUGAUUGUCUAUGGGGUCUAAUCUUUAAAUAGACCCAAUCUCCCACUUGAAUAUCUGCUUCUUUCCUUUUUUUAUUCGCCUGAGUAACCAUGGCCUCCUGAGCUUGCUUUAAAUGGACCUUCAGCUGCUUUAAAGCCUCAUCCCUUGUUAACAAAUCUUAAGCCACCGACUCCAUUGCUGUCUCUCCCGGAAUAAAAUGACUCAAGGCUGGUGGUACUCUCCCUAGACUAUUUCGAAAGGAGAACACCUGGCUGCACCUUGAUAACUGGUAUUAUACCAGUAUUCAGCCCGUGGAAGCAUCAUCUUCCAACUCCUAGGCUGUUCUGAGCAGAAACACCUCAAAUACCCCUCCAAAAUCCUGUUUACCACCUCAGUUUGACCAUCCGUUUCAGGAUGGUAUGCCGUGCUCAGGUUAAGUUGAGUCCCCUGUUUCUUGAAAAGCUCCUUCCAGAACACGCUUAAAAAGAGGGGAUCUCGAUCACUGACUAUGGACGUAGGAAUCCCGUGCAAUCUAACUAUUUCUUGGAUGAAAACUUCGGCCACCGUUCGGGCAGAAUAGGGGUGUUUAAGUGCUAUGAAAUGGCUGUACUUGCUCAACCUGUCAGCGACUACCAAGAUUGCAUCAAAUCCUUGUGAUUUGGGUAACUUCACAAUAAAGCCAAGACUUAUCUCCUCCCAAAUGGCCUGCGGAAUCGGAAGCGGUUGUAGCAGACCCUGAGGUGAUGCAGCUAAGUACUUAUGUUGCUGGCAAAUUACACAGCUCGCUACAAACUCCGUUAUCGUUUUCUUCAUCCCCUGCAAAUAUAAAGAUUAUGCCACUUUUCGGUAUGUGUGAAACACUCCAGAGUGGCCCCCAGUGCUAGUCACGUGAAACUCUGCUAGGAGCUUGGGAAUCCAACUCGACUUUGCUGAAAAAACCAGCCUUCCUUUGUAGUGAAGGCGGUCAUUCUCCAACGUGUAAGCUUCAUGGCUAUUCGGGUCCCCCUUGAUGUCCUCCAUUAUCUUCCGAAGUGUGUCGUCCUCUUCCACCUCUUUUAAGAUCUCCUGGAAAUCAUGCCAAUAAGGCCUAGAGAUAGCUCGCAGCUCCCCCUCCUCCAUCUCACUUUCUCCUUUCCUAGAUAAGGCAUCUGCAACUUUGUUAGAACUACCCACCUUAGAAACAAUUUCAAAAUCAUACCCCAUCAACUUGGCUAUCCAAUUCUGUUGGCUGUGUGUUGUUAUCCUUUGCUCUAGCAAGUAUUUGAGGCUGCGUUGAUCGGUAUGAACCACAAAUCUUCUCCCCAAUAGAUAGGGUCGCCAGUGUUGGAUGGCCAUGACUAAUGCCAUCAACUCCUCAUAAAUGGACUUACUCCGAGACCCCUCCGACAGCGCCUUGCUAAAGAAAGCAAUGUGCCUUUUAUUCUGCAUCAAUAUCACCCCUACUCCACUCCCGGAAGCAUCACAUUCAACGUGAAACUCUUGCGUGAAAUCGGGCAAGGCCAACACCGGUGCAGAUGUCAUUGCAGACUUCAAAGCAGCCAUGGCUGUCCUGGCUCGCUCUGACCAUUCAAACUGCCUCUUCUUCAACAGUUCGGUAAGGGGUUUUGCCAACUCUCCAUACUUCUGCACGAAUCUCCUAAAGUACCUCGUCAAGCCUAAAAAGCCCCUCAAUGCCUUCAAAUUCCUGGGUUCAGUCCAUUCCAGCACGACCUUAAUCUUAUCUUGGUCCAUCUCCACUCCUUUCUCGGAUAUCUGAUGUCCCAGGUAUUGAAUCCUCUUCUUCCCAAACUCACAUUUUUUUUCAUUUGCCACCCAGUUGUUCUGUUCUAAGAGCUGCAACACCAGUUUUAGAUGAUGGAGGUGCUUGGUCCAAGAUGGGUUGUACACCAAGAUGUCGUAAAAAAAAACAAGCACCCACUUCCUCAAAUAAGGCGCCAUUAACCUGUUCAUAGCACUCUGGAAUAUUGCUGGAGCAUUCGUUAACCCGAAGGGCAUCACCAAAAACUCAAACAGGCCCUGAUUUGUCCGGAAGGCAGUCUUUUGAAUGUCUUCUUCACCCAUGCAUAUCUGAUGAUAACCUGCCUUCAAGUCCAGUUUAGAAAAGAACCUUGGACCCUUAAGCUCAUCCAAUAGUUCCUCAAUCACCGGAAUAGGAAAUUUGUCUGGAUCGGUUGCCUUGUUAAAUGCCCGGUAAUCCAUGUAGAAUCUCCAACUUCCAUCUUUCUUUUUUACCAAAAUCACGGGGCUGGAAAAAGGACUGUGGCUCAGCCUUAUGACCCCUGCUCGUAGCAUAUCAGCAACUUGUUUCUCAAUUUCUUCUUUCAUCAAAUAAGGAUACCUAUAGGGUCUUACAUUUAUAGGGUUGGUGCCAUCUUUUAGAAGUAUUCGGUGUUGGGCAUCACAUGCAGGGGGCAGACCUUCUCUCUCCUGGAACACCUUGUAGUGGGAUGCAGGACUGCUCUGAUCUCCUCCUGCUGCCCUUCAGUCAAAUCACCAAACACGUCACCUCGUGCUCCCUGCUCCAUUACGCACAUUUCCCAAACCAAGAACCAUGAGUCAGCAUCCAUUAUUUUUGCUAGAGCUCCAGGAUUCAACAACUGUCUCGCCAAAGCUGGAUCACCCUUGAUCACUCUUUUCUCUCCCUCCACGACAUAUUGCAUGGACAUAUUUCCCCAAUUAAUGGUCACUUCCCCCAAUGUCGCUAACCAAGCAAUGCCUAGUAUUAGAUCAACUCCCCCCAGUUCAAAGACAUGCAUGUCUUCCUCUACGACCACGUCCCCCAACUGCAAUCUCACCUUCUCGCAACGUCCCCCUGUCCACUUCUUCUGGCCAUCGCCCAAACUCACCGCAUAAGUGGGUGUGUCUGUCACGGGCAGUCCCAGCUCCUCCACCACACCCCGGCCAAUGAAAUUGUGACUGGCCCCACUGUCAAUCAGCACCACCACUCUCCUUCCCCCUAUCAACCCAUUCAACUUCAUUGUCUUGGGAGGCGUCAGGCCCUCGGCCGAACAGGCCGACAACUCCAGGGGUUUCGCGUCCAGGUUCGACAUUUCUUCCAUCUCCUCUUCUUCGUCGUCCGCCAUCAAAAGGACCCUUAAGCUCUUCUCUGCACAUCGAUGACCCGGCGUAAAUGGUCUGCCGCAUUGGAAACACCUUCCCUCUUCAUGCCUUUUCAGAAACUCCGGGUAAGGCAAGUUUCUGACCAUCCGAACCUUGUUUUCUCCUCCGACUGGGGUAUUAACUCUCGCGUUGAUGCUAUUCGCCACCGUCGCCCCUUCUCUCCUGGCCGGACCCACUCCUUCUGUCCCACUAAUUCUUGUCGCGAGACCACGAUCUCCAUCAUUCCUCACGAUCGACGCCGCAGUUCGAGUACCCGCGGGUUGCACCCUGAACCCGUUCCAAACUCCUCCUCAUGCACGGUUUAUGGCGUCCUCCACGUCUCUCGCAACCCUGAUUGCGACCAUCAAAUCUGGGGGACUCUGAAUUCUGACCUGGCCCUUAAUGUCUUCCCUUAACCCCGCCAGGAAGAAACCCAGAAUCAGCUCCUCCGACAGUCCCUGGGUCUGUCCUAGUAACAUCUCAAAACUUCUUACAAACUCUUUCAGCGCUCCCUCUUGCCUUAGGGUGGCCAUCUGUUCAUAGACCGUUCCCCGGAACCCACCACCGAAUCGAUUGAUCAACCCAUCCUUCAAACCCAUCCACGUCCGAUUCUUUGUUUUCUCCCGCCAAUACUUGAACCAAUAACUCGCGCUUCCCUCCAUACUAAUGUAAGCGAGUUCGACCUUAUCCCCCUCUUCUACUUUUUGAAUGUCAAAAAAUCUUUCAGCCCGAUUAAUCCAGAUGUAUGGGUCUCCGCCUUCAAAUGAUGGCAGUUCCACCUUCUUCCUCCAAUUGUUUGCAAUUCCCCAGUCUCGCCCCUCCCUGGGUUCUCGUUCACCGAACUGCUGCUCCCUUCAGAACCACCCCCUUGAUGGUUCGAACCUCCACCCAUCAUUUUCAUCAAUUGCUGUACGUCGCGUCUGAUCGCCGCGGUCUCAUCCUUGAUUCCCUCAACCGUGAUCUCCAAGUUAUCUAAUCUUCCCUCCAUCUCACUCCCCAUCGCUGGCUCUUCUCCUUCGGGAUCCGACAGGUCGAACCAAAUGAUAGGUUCUUGUAAUCAAGAACCUAUGGAAAACACACAAAGAACAAUUCCUCUGAAUUGUAUAGCCUUCUUUUAUUGCAAAGAAUCAGAAAGAAUGGUGCGUACAAGGUAACCCGAGAGCUUAACCUCCCUCCAAAGAACUAAAAUAGUUCCCGCAAAAACAACAAUACUCCCAAAAGUCCCCGACUAAACUCCCUACUCCCUCUUUUAUACAUUCUGCUAACACUAACAGAACAACCCCCCCAGUUAGGCCCUGUAACGUUUCUUUUCUGUUUCUUCAUGACGCUUUCUAUUAGUUGAAAUUUAAUUUCCUUUGCUUUAGUUUCCUUGCUUUUGAAUGUGAAACCUGAAAUUUUAAGAUUUGAGUCAAUCAGUCACCUGGAACAAUUACUUAGAAUGACUCUAAUUUGACUAGCCAAAGACUCUUUGUACUUGCUUGACUGGAGUGGCUCAACUUGUUUCCAUUUCUGAGAGUCAUAAUUUGAUGUUUAUUUUUGUAUUCUGCUAUGAUAUCUCUUUAUUUUGUUGUUGAUAUUUUAUUGUCACUUCAAUUCAGCUCCUGAAGUGGUUGAGAAGCCUGGGGAUACCUCAUUGGCAAGGCUUAAAGUGUUAUACACUCAAGCAAAAGAUCUUUCGGAAAGUGAAGCAAGGUAUGUUUAAUCUGUCCAUAGCUCAGAAACAUUUUAUAUAAAUUACAUUUUAUUUUCAUUUAUGCUUAAAAUCUUUACGCCAUGCAUUUUGAUAUCAGAGUCACUUGAUAUACUUCCAGGCUUGGCAUUCUAUUGCAUAUGAUUUCUUGUAUUGAUUUUCAAUGCAGUAUUUCCAACUUAAUGUUAAGCCAAAUCGAUGGAAUCCUGCCUACGGGUCCACAGGGGCAAACACGAAGAAGAAUAGGUUUGCCUCAAAUUUUUGACAAAUAUGUUCUUUCAUUUGAAGCAUUAUCAUAUCUGUUAUAUAUUUAGAAUUCAUCCAUAAGAUAAUUAUAUUCAUCUUUCACUUGAAAUAUUAUCACCUCUGUACGUAGGCUUGGAAAUUUAGAAUUUGUUGACAAAAUAAAUACUGUCAACGUAGAACCUUUUAGUAUGUUGCUCUUUUAAUAUUUUCUUUUCAUUUGUGUUAUGUAUUAACCACAAAGACUAGGUAUGAUUAACCAUAAUUAUACAACCCAAGCAAGGGUUGAAAGCAUUAGAGAUAUGCUUUUUCAGGGGAAGGAAUGUAGGAAGUAAAUAAAAUAAGAAAAGGGGGAGGAAAAGAAUGUCUCACAAUUUUGUGACAACUACAUGCCAAAUUUUAAUUCAUUUGAUGUAAAUUUUUGGUUGUUUUAAGAUCUUUUCUUUCCCUCCUUUUUUUUUUCUUUUCCAGGAAAAGGUAAAGUCUACUCUUUGGAUACUCAUCUCUGCUGCAAUGUGGGUCAGUCCUGUAUAGUCCUGCUACAUGAAGAAAAUGGGGGAGGGAGGGCAUGCUAACGUGUAACUUAAAGUAAAACUGAAAUUGUGUAUUAAUCAACUCAUUUAUAUUUUUACAUUCGUUCCUUUUCUGCCGAUAUGGUGGAAGUAGAAUGGAAAAAGUGCUGGGUAUAUCUACGAAAAUCAUGAUUUGGAGGUGCAGAUUAGCCAAACUUAUAGAUCGUUAGCAAGAGUGUUUUAGCAUGCUUUUGUUAUCCCCAGCUAAUACAUGGUGAUGCAUUGCUCCCCAACAAUACGGUAAUGAUUUUGUACAACAUUCAGUUGAUAAAGCAAGGCUAUGCAAACAUAUGAAUCAAAAUACGAACAAAUAUGUGGAAGCGUUUAUGGAGUAUUGUGGUUGAAGCAAAUAAUUUCCUUAAACUUUGUUAUUAUUAUGAUUUCCUUGAGAUUCUAGUUUCUGUUUACCUAGUCUAGCUCCUGAGUAUAUCUGUGUUACAGAAGGUAAUGAGCAGAAAAGGAAACGAGUAAAGACUGAGUCCGAUAUUUCAAGACUAAAUCCUACUAUGCGACAUCAUCUUGAUGCUUGUGCCAGUCUUAAAGGAGAACAGGUAUCCAUUUGCACUGAAGUUUAAUGAAUACAAGUCAAAUACUCCAUUAACAUUUAUUGACAAUGUUUUUAUCCAUGUUAGUUAUACUGCAUGUGUGAGCAGUACAUUGCAUUUGAUAACUUUGUCUGUUUAAAGCUUACGUGAUAGGUUUCUUGGGACACCCUCGGGUUAGCUCACAAAACACACAACACUCAGUCUCACAAGGGAACAAACUGUAUUAUUAUUCUUGUAACAAAGAAUGAUGUCCGUAAGCAUCCAAGGGAGCAAUCCUCCCCUCACACAGGAUGGAAUGCUCCUGUCAAAACAAAGAUACAAAAUAGACGUGUCCUCUUAAGACAAUCUUUCCCCCUAACUGCCCUCCUAACCCUCCUAACAACUAUGCCCUGUUUUUUAUUUCCUUUCUCCUUACAUAAACUCUCAAGGUCUUAUCAUUACUCACCGGCCUUUGGACGACCUUGUCCUCAAGGUGAAAGUCUGGAAAUUGUUCCCUUAUUGUCACCUCAAUCCUCCCAUGUAGCAGCUGGCCCUCCUUCCUGCCACUCAAUGAGCAUCUGUGGUGCUGGUUCUCCUUGCAACUGAUUUGUUCCCCUUUCCAACACCUUGAGGAGACAACAAACUGGCCCUCCCCCUGGUAGGUCCUCCGAUAGUUCCCUUUCCACUUGUUGGGUGCCAUCGCCACUUUAAGUUGAGACACAUGAAAGAUUGGGUGGAUACAGGCUAUCUUUGGCAGCUGCAUCCCGAGAGCCACUUGAAGCUGGUGUUAUACACCACGGAAGAACAUAACUCCAACUUUUAGGCUGUUCUGAACUGAAGCAUCUUAAGUACUUUUCUAAGGUCUUAUUAAGAACCUCGACCAUCUUUUUCUGGAUGGUAGGCAAUGCUUAUAAGUAAUUUAGUACCCUGGAGCUUAAACAACUCCUUCCAAAACAAGCUAAGGAAGGUUGACUAUAGAGGAGGGUAUACCAUGCAGUUUUACUAUGUCCCUCACAAAAACUUUUGCUUUAGACUUCGUUGAGUAUGGGUGCUUAAUGGGUAUAAAAUGACCAUAUUUACUGAGCCUAUCCACCAUGACCAACACUACAUCAUACCCAUUGGAUUUGGGUAAACUUACAAUGAAGUCCAUGUUGAUUUCCUCUUAUAGAGCCUGCGAAAUAGGUAGAGGUUGUUAUAACCCUUGAGGUGAAGAAGCUAAGUACUUCUGCUACUGGCAGACCAAUCAAGCAGUCACAAAAUCUGUUACUACCUUUUUCAUCCAUACCCAAUAUAACAAUUGGGCGACCUUUCUAUACGUUUUGAAGACCUUGGAAUGCCCUCUAGUGGCAGUCACAUGAAAUUCUGCUAUCAACUUCGGGAUCAAUGUUGACUGGGCAGACAGAACCAACCUUUCUUUAUAAUGAAGGUGGUUAUGUUCCAACGUGAAAGCUCGGUGAGAGCUUGGGUCUUCUAUUAGAUCCCUCCUGAUUUUUUGUAGCACCGGGUCUCCUUUUACCUCCUCCAGAACAACCUGGAACUCCUACCAAAAGGGUGUAGUAAUCACCCUAAGUUCCUUCUCCUCCUUCCCCUUCUCCUCAGCCUUCCUGGAUAGGGCACCUGCCAUCCUAUUGGAGGCCCCGAACCUGUACACUAUCUCAAAUUCAUACCCUAGCAAUUUAGCCAACUAGUUCUGUUGGUUUUGGGUGGUUAUCCUUUGUUCCGGGAGGUAUCUCAAACUCCUCUGGUCUGUAUGGACCAAAAAUUUCUCUGCCUAAUAGGUACGAUCUCCAUUGCUGGCUAACACCAAAGCCAUCAACUCCUUCUCAUAAAUGGGCUUGGAAAGAGCAGAUUUUGACAAUGAUUUACUGAAAUAGGUGAUAGGCUCUUAUUCUAUGAUAACACAGCUCCUACCCCUCUUCUGGAUGCAUCACACUCUACAUGGAAAGUUUGAAAAAAAUUAGGCAAUGCCAACACUGGGGUUGUAGUAAUGGCUUCCUUAAGGUCUUGCAUGGCCUCCGUGCUUUGUUGUGUCCAGUCAAACUGUCCUUUCUUUAGCAAGUUUGUUAAAGGCCUAACUAUCCUUCCAUAAUUCCAUAUAAACCUUCUAUAAUAUUUGGUAAGGCCUAGGAAUCCCCAUAGAGACUUGAUGGUUCUAGGAAUAGGCCAUUCUAGCAUAACGUCCACUUUCUCCCUGUCCAUCUCUACUCCCUGUCUGGAUAUCACAUGGCCCAAGUACUUGAUUUGUCUCCUCCCAAACUCACAUUUCUUCCUAUUAGUGAAACAUUGUUGCUGACAUAGUGUGUAUAGUUCUUGUUUGAGGUGCUCUCUAUGCUCCUCAAAUGACUUACUGUAUACUAGUAUGUCAUCAAGGAAGACCAAAACGUAAUUCCUUAAGUAAAGCUUCAAGACCGUGUUCAUCACACACUCAGGUGGGGCAUUUGAUAGGCCAAAGGGCAUGGCCAGGAAUUCAUAAUGCCCUUGGUGUAUGCAGAAGGCUGUUUUUUGGAUGUCUUCUUCUUUCUUCCAUAUUUGAUGGUACCUAGCCCUUAGAUCCACUUUUUGAAAAGAAGCUUGCCCCUUGUAGUUCACCAACAGCUCCUCUAUAACGGAUAUUGGAAAUUUGUCCGGAAUUAUUGCCUUGUUUAAGGUCAUGUAGUCAAUGCAAAACCUCCAACUGCUAUCCCUUCUCUUCACCAAGAUCACUGGGCUAGAAUAGGGGUUGUUGCUAGGCUUAAUUAUCCCCAUUCCCAGCAUUUCAGCCACCUGCUUCUCUAUUUCAGAUUUCUAGAGAUGAGGGUACUGAUAGUGCCUCACAUUAAUAGGGUCCACUCCCGCCUUAGUUGGGAUCUUAUGAUCUAGGUAUCUCUUGGGUGGCAGUUCUGUGGGCUCUUUGAACGUCUCUCCAUAUUUCCCCAAGACCUCCUCAAGUUUUGGGGCCUGGCUGGAGGUUAAUUGGUCCUCCCCUUUCUCCCUUUCUUUCAACUUAGUCUGUCUCAAACUCCAAACCAAUGUGACAGCCUCAAUCUCUGUUUCUUUCAGCAGUGCCUUAGGUGUCACCACUUUCUUUGUUUGUGUGAGGUCUCCUCUAAUCAACACCUCCCUUUCACCCUAACAAAAACUCGUAGUUUAGUUUAUCUAGUUGAUCUUAACUUCCCCUAGUGAGACCAGCCAUGUUACUCCCAAAAUCAGAUCCACACCACCCAGCUCAAACAAGUAAAAUCUCUCCUUCACCUCCAAACCUUCCAAUAAUAGUGGGAUGACAACAUCCACUAAUUUUCUUCUUAUGUCCAUCCACUAGUUUAGUUUUCUUCUUAUGUCCAUCACCCAGUAGGGAGAAGUUUCCUCUACUACCAGGCCUAAUUCAGCCACUAGUUUAGCCAAAAUAAAAUUGUGGCUUGGGACGCUAUCAAUUAACACUAGCACUUGCUUCCCUUUCACCCAUCCUUGUAAUUUCAUAGUAUUAGAUUGUGUUAAGCCCCUUGCUGAAAAAACCAAGAGCUCCAUCUGCCUCUUCUUCAUUUCUUCCUCCUCUUCCCCUUCACCUUCCUCCUCAUCUUCAGCCAUGAUCAAUAUCCUCAUAUUUUUUUCUGGACACCUUUGGCCUGGGCUAUAGGACCCCUAUAGUGAAAACAUCUCCUUUCCUCUCUUCUCUGGAUAUAUUCUAGGUAAGGCAGAUUCCUUAUCCCCCUUUCCUUCUCCUGUAGUGUUCCCUCCAAUCUUGGAGCCCACUGUGGUGUUGGUCCCAUCUUUCCUUGCGGUGCUUACAUUGCUAGAGGUACCCUAACCACUUUUGGCCCUUUUGAACGAUUCAGUUCUGGAAAUGGCACCAAUUCCCUCUUGAUACCUUCUAGAAGAUUGACUAUUUCUAUUGGCCAUUCCUCCUCCCAAUCUUGGAUCUUGAGUGACCUCCUCCACAUCACUGGCUAUCUCCACAACCCUUAAUAACUCCCUAGAAUUAUGGGGCCUGAUUUGGCUCCUAAUAUCAUUUUGCAAACCCACAAAGAAGUACUCCGGUAAUUGUUCCUCUGUCAACUAGGUGGUUUGAGAUACCAACAUUUCAAAUUCCUGGAUAUAUUCUUCCACUGGUCCCUUCUGCCUUACAACAGCCAGCUUUUCAAAAACAUAGCAUCUAUCUCUUCCUACAAACCUCCUAAUCAAGGCUUCCGCUAGUUCCUCCCAAGAAGGGUUUUUGGUUUUCUUUUUCAAAAAUCUAAACCAAUGAUUGGCUCCCCCUUCCAUGCUAAUGAAGGCCAGUCUCAUCUCUUCCCUGGCUGAAACAUUAUGCACUUCAAAGAACUUUUUUCAGCUCUUGAUAUCCACCCCACCAAAUCUACUCCCUCAAAAGUAGGUAAUUCUACUAUUUUCAUCUAGCCCUUUUGUAUUUUCCCCUUUUCUUCCUCUAGAUCCUCCUCAGGUUCUUCCUUCCGUCCCCUUCUUUCCCCAUUUACCGACCCUUGAUUGCCCUCAGAACUUCUAUCCUGGUUCUUUGAUUUCAGCAUAAGUAUCAAAUCUUUUAAGUUCUUGAUGAUUUUCCCUAGUCUCUUCCUUGAGAUCAUCUAUGGCUUUCCCUUGUUCGCUGACCAGCCUCUCCAGUGUACUGACUCUCCCCUCCAUGUUCCUCCUUUUUUUGUGAUCUAGCAUGUCGAAUCAAAUGAUGGGUUUCUUGAUAGCAAGAAACCCAGGACACCCUUGGGUUAGCACACAAAACACACACAACACUCAAUCUCACAAGGGAACAAACCGUAUUAUUAACUGUAUUAUUAUUCUUGUAACAAAGAAUGAUGUUCGUAAGCAUCUAAGGGAGCAAUCCUCCCCUCACACAGGAUGUAAUACUCCUGUCAAAACAAAGAUACGAAACAGACGUGUCCUCCUAAGACACUCUUUCCUCCUAAUAUACCCAACCCCUUACACGAAACACAUAACAGCCAACCACAUAACUGCCCUCCUAACCCUCCUAACACCUAUGCCCUGUUUUCUAUUUCCUUUCUCCUUACAUAAACUCUCAAGGUCCUAUCAUUAUAGCUGUUAGAAAUUCAGUUAUAGUUAGUUCAUUGAGCUGUUCACAGUUGUAAUUCUGUUAUUAAUUUUUUAGCGAAAUCUAUUAUUUGAAUCUCUUACAAGGUUAUGCAUAACUUGUAAUAAUAUUUCCAUAGACACAACUUGUUUAUUUUGAAGAAUGUUUUUUGGAAACAAUUUUCUAAAGUAUCUAGAGUUCUAUUUCUUUGAGUUAAUUUCUUGUCAGGUAGCAGCUAGGGUCACACCACGAAAUGCUGAUAAGGAUGAAUGGUUUGUUGUAAAAGUGAUUCAUUUUGACAAGGAAUCAAAGGAGUAAGUAUAAUAUUAAUUUUGCAAUUUUGUUCUGUUAGUUGCAUAUAAAUUUGGGGUAGUUACUCACCUCCUCUAUGGUUUUUCUUAUGAUACUAACAUUAUUGUUUUUUGUGACUUCACUAAGGUCUGUGUAGACUCUGUGUUUAAUUUUUUAUACACCUAGCAUAUAGGUGUAGUAACAGAAUGUAAAUGCAGUAAUUUUCCAAAAGAGAGGAUUUAGGGUGUAAAAAUGCUGAAUAUAGCAGUAUUUAGUGAAAUUAUCUAUAUUAAUUUUUAAAGACAUACUUAUACCAUUUUAAUUCCUAAAUUGCAUCUUGUUCCACCUGUAACUGGUUCACACUUUCCACUCGGGAAGGGAUAAUUGUUCCUUUUGUUUAAGGUUCCACGUUGACUAAAGAUAAAACUUGUUUAUAGUAUAUAUGUGAGUACGAAUUUCACUUUAUAAAUCGGUUUUGUAGAGUUGAGUUAGGUUUAAAGUCCACUUCUUAACAUGGUAUUAGAACAUAUCCUAAUGAAAUUUGUUGUUUGUUAAGUCUUUUGUUCAACUCGCUAUCUGGUUGCUAUCGAAUUACUUAUUAAUGUCUGAUCCCAUGCUCGAGAACUUGUCAUGCAAUGCAAAUACGUCUCAGUGCAAUGGUAAACUACUUUUGUUUGACCAUUAAAUUAAGGGUGAUGGGUAAAAUGGGGAAUUCUACAAAGAGAAAAAGAAGAGCUAAACAAAUAGGUGCUGGAAUGGGAUGUGCAGAGGACAACAAACCCAACUAUGGCUGGGUGGUGUCCCUUCGUGCUUGAAGACUGCAGGUGGGCAACACUCGCCUGACAUGCAUGACGAAGAGGAUGUGCAUUCAGGUGUAUGAAGUAGUUUCUACUCUCAAGACCGGUGGAAUUGGUAGUGGUUUGCCUUUUUUGGUGGUGUGGGGAAGAAGAAGAUGGAGAGGAAAGGAUGAAAUAAAAAACUCAAAUUAAAUAAAUAAAAAUAAAAAUAAAAAUUUAGAAUACUCACCCAUGACACCCACCAAACAGUUAACGUUAAUUUAACUGCAAGGCCAACAUUGUGUGAUUUAAACAAAAUUGGGACUCAAUUGAGUCAAAAACAAAAUAUGGGGAAUCAAUUGAAUAUUUACCUUCAAUAUAGGGACCAAAAUUUUGCUUUUGACUCAAUUGAUUUCCAAUUUUUUGUCACCCACCAUCUUUUAUUUUACUAGAAUCAUAGUGUUAGAAUAGGGGCUAAUACUAGGUGUAAUGGUUCUUGCUUUCAACAUAUCAAAAACCAACUUUUCAAUCUCAUUUUUCUGAUGAUGUGAGUAUUUGUACGACCUUAGAUUUGGGAUAGAAGCUCCUUUUAAAUGGAUAGCAUGAUCCUAUGUCUUUCUCGGAGGUAAUGUCGUUAAAUCUUGAAAAAACGUGGUAUUUAAAUCCAGCAUGCGAGGCACCUCUAUAGGUCCGAGUUGAAGAUUGGGUUCUUCCUGCUCUAGGUCUACCAAACACCCUAUAUCUUCUUUCCGUAAUUUCUUUAUCAAUUUUUUCAAUGAUGUUAAUGUGGUAGAUAAUGCAGCAUCUCCUAUAACCAUUUGCUGUGACUCACCCCUUCCAAUGGUCAAUUUUAGUUUCCCAAAAUUAGCCUUAACCUCUCCUAAACUGGCCAGCCAUUCUAUUCCUAAAAUCACAUCAACUCUUUCCAGAUAAAAAAUAAAGACAUCUUGUUGGAUGAUCAACCCUUGUAACUCCAAAACAUAUUCUACGCAUUUUCCUUGACAAUGUACCUUGUGACCAUCUCCUACCUCCACAUAAGGACGGGUCUCUUCAUAGCCCGUAUAUAUACACAACUUCUUGAGAUGAAAUUUUGAGAUGUCCCAAAAUCUAACAAGACUAUAAGCUCCACAUCUGCAAUCUUGCCCCAACCCUGCUAGGACUUAGUGGUAGGACCCGCCAUAGUAAGCAUGGAUAGUUGCAAAGCUUUAUCUUCUUCAACAUCUUUCUCCGUGUCUCCUUUGCAAUUCAAUAAUCCGUCAUAACUUGAUAAGUCUUCCUCAGUUACUAACAACAUGUCUAAUUGCUUAUUCCUACACACAUGGUUAAGUCCAAAUUUCUCAUCACACCAUAACCACAAUCCUUUCUUAAUUUUAUCUUGCAUUUCCUCAUUUGAUAAUUUGUGAAAUGUGGCUCCUCUGUUGCAGUUGAUUCCCUCAGCUUUAUUGGGAGAAUUCAUGACUUCCACAGUUUCCCCUUUUCCUCUCCCAAUAAUGGCCAUGUGAUUGCCUCCUUCCCGUGAAUAACUUCUCAUUGGCCAACUUGACCUAUACCAUGUUCCCCUUAUCUAGUGAACUUGAGCUUUAUUAGACUUAUUGUGCUACUUGCUAUCGAGCUAUUUAAGACUACUCACAAAUAUCUAGUUUCAGGGACGAGAUGCCCAUGUCUUGGCAUAAAGGUGGUGUAUUGGAGAUUCCACUUUGAUAAGGCCAAUUCACAAUUUAUAAAUAGAGACAAAUUUCACUUUACAAGUUGGUUUUGUGAGAAUGAAUUUGAUUUAAACUCAUUUUCUAGUACUUAAUGACAAGCUUAGUUGCUUUAGGACUUAAAAUAAACCUGUUGCAACUGUUGUAAUCCGGUUAUUUUUUCACAAAGGAAAAAUUUAUUAAAAGUAGUGUUUCUUGUGUAUGAUUUGUAAUCAGUAACUGAAGGAAUAGUUUUCAUCUUGACAUAAGUAUUGUUUAAUUCCCCUUUUCAUUAUUUUAUUUGAUGUUCGUGAUUUGUUUUACAGAUUUGAAGUACUAGAUGAGGAACCAGGUGAUGACGAAGAAAGCAGUGGCCAAAGGUAACGUACCAUAUUAUGACAUUUGUCAUGUUUGGUAAUUGCCUGAAGUUAUGUCAUGUGCUUGCUUUGGUGGAAGUAUCAUCUUAAACAUACUUGGGAGUUUCGUUCUUUGCACGUGUAUUAAAUUGUUACUCCAUUUGAAAGGCAUGUUUAGUUCAUUUGUUUCUCUUUCUACAUUCAGACAGUACAAGCUUCCCAUGGGAAAUAUCAUUGCUUUUCCCAAGAGUAAUGAUCCUUCUAGUGCUCCAGAUUUCCCACCUGGAAAACAUGUUUUGGCGGUCUAUCCAGGAACUACUGCACUUUAUAAAGCAACAGUUGUUCAAGGCCCUCGCAGAGUAAUAAUUCUCUCAUUUUCUUCAGUACAGUGAGAUUAUUUCCUGAUUCCCUUUCAUUAUUUUGUAGCCUGUUAAUCCCUGCCGUUAGUUUAACUUUUGUGACUCAGAUUACAUACUGACCAAUAUUAUUUCCCAUGUUCUGGGUUAUUCUUCAACAUUUCGUAACUGUGCAGAGGAAAACCGAGGAGUAAGUAUACUUCAUUAAGCCUUCACGGAAUGCUUGCUUUGUUAUAAAUAUUAUCUAUUUUAACCAUAGAAAAUCAAGUCACAUCACGAUUUGGUUUUACUUUCUACCCCUUUGUUUGGUUUAAUGAACAUAAAGAGAUGGGAAAUUCAUAUUUUUAAUUUUUUUUUCUUAAACUUAAAUAAAUGUUUUUUCUAACAUAAAAUAAUUUUACGUUAAGAAUAAAUUUUUAAUAAUAUAGGAAAUUUUAAAUUAUAGUCGGUAUAAAAGGUUGUUAUAUAACUUAAUUUUUUUAUGCUCAUUCGUCCAGAUAAGCAAAAAGAAAUUUCUAAACUUUAUUCCUUAUUUUAAUUAUGCAAAUAACAUACCUUUUAUAUUAUAUUUUCUUAAUAUUUCUAUCCUUUAUAUUUUGUGUUGCUUUUCUUCCUAAUUGAGUAAUAGUUUAUGCCCUGUUUGAUUACUUUCUGUGGUGAUUGGAACAGCUAUGUGUUGGAAUUUGAUGAUGACGAAGAAGAUGGAUCUUUACCUCAAAGGACUGUGCCCUUCCAUAAAGUAGUUCUUCUUCCAGAAGGACAUCGCCAAUGAGCUUUAAACUAUUUAUAGGUGUGUAUAAAGUAGAAACUACACUAUUGCAUAUGUGCCAGUUGCGUAGUAUGCUGUGUUAUGUUUUUUUUCAAGAUUGACAUCCCAACUUAGUUUCAAGCAUGUAAGAAUGACAGCGUAGUUCACCACUGCGUAUAAAUGAUAAAUAGAUUGUGACAACUUUGUUACACUUCCCUGUCUUUAUCAGUAAUGAGAUACUAUUAUUAAUAGGAGAAAGAGAGUCAUCUUUUGUGAACCUUUUUUUCCAAUUAAACCUAUUUUAAAGAGAAUAAAAAUUGCAAAUAAGAUAAUCAGGAAAAAAAACAAAUAAAUUGUUUUCGGAAACCGAAAUCUUGUAGUUUUUCUAUAUUCUUUACUUGUAUAGAUAACGAACAAAAAAAGGAUUUGAAACAAGAAAUAAUGAAAAUUAAACCAAAUAAUUAAAAGUGUUUUGAUACCGUAUUUUUUUUAAGGUUUAAUACCUAUUUUGGUCCCUCUUUUGGGAGGGUUUGUUCAAAGUGGUCCUUCUUUUUUUAAAAAGUUCACUUAAAUCUCAGCUUUUGUAAAAAUUGAGCAAAUAGAUCCUUUUUGGUAACGGCGUUAAUUUUGUUAACGGCAGAGCUGCCAGGUGGCUAAUAUCUGAUAAGGCUUAAUACCUCCAAUGGUCCUCUGUUUUGUCAACUAAUCAUAUUUUGGUCCUCAAGUUUGCAACCAUUUCAAUUUAGUCACAAUUUUUGAAAAUAUGCACACAUUGUAUCCCAUCCGUUAAGGGGUAGCAGACGACCGUUAAGUAUUGUCCACGUGUUGGAGUGAGAAUGUGGUGAGGUGUUAUUUUUUUUUACGUGUCCUGUUUCAUUAAAAGGAACAUUGAUGAUGUGGCAUUAGAAUUGGAUUUAGGGUUAAAUGGGAUCAGAAAUUAGAAAUUGGGAUUUAGGGUUGUGGAGCUUUAGGGAUUUAGAGGAUCUACCUCCGACAACCACACUGCCCCCACCCAACAGCCAUCGUGUCGUCACCAAAAACGUCACCGGCGACCACCAUCCCAAUCAUCAAAACCAUUGCGCCAUGGAGGCAUUUGAAGCAGUCACUCCCUUUGCGCUUGCCAACCUCUCCGGUCAGCUUUCAUAUCACCGAAGUUGCAGCAGCCGCCACCGGAGUCAAAGCCGGUCCCAACCACUCUCUCUCCUCCUCUCACGCUUGCCUAGGGUGAGUUACCGCCGACGUCUUCCCAUCCCUAUUUGGUAACGCUAGUGCCGUCGGCGAUGUUGCUCGCCUCUAUUAUUCUCACUGUCCCGACCAACGUUCCUCCGGUGACUUGUCAACACUCACAGGAUUCUCUGGGUCGCGCACGCAUCAAAGAGAUGGUGGCAGCACCGAGAGAUCUAUUCCGGCAGAGGAGACAACAAAUGGGACCGGAGAAUUUCCAAUGAGUUCCAAUUUAGGGUUUUGAAAUUUUAGCUAAUUUGGGAUGUAUGGGUUUAAUUUGUACUACGUUUCCCUUUGCUGAUUCAAUCGAAACACAGUGAUAAUUUGAUGGAGAAAGAAACCGAACAAUCAGGUUUCUACUGCUUUGACCCUUUCUAUUUUUAUGGUAAUGCUUGAUAUUUGGCUUUUACUCUGGUCACAGGGCAAUGGUGGGGAUGAGUUGGUUUAUUCAUUAUGGUUAUUUUGGGUUGUUGAUUGGCUCGGGUUCAUUCGAUAGGGAUGAGAUGUUCAUCACAGGUGAAGGGCGUUUCGAGAUAGGGAGUGAUUAUACGGCUUGCAAGGGAGAAUUUAUACUUUUUUUUGUUUCGUAUGAAAACUGACAUGAAAAGGGGAUACAUAUGAUUCUGCCUCUGUUUUCCUUCUUAUUACCUGUGUUUUCUGGGUGCAAGUAAAUGGAUAUUGAAGUCUUGAUGUUGGGGAAUAUACACUGUUUUCUACUGUUAGCUAUUGCAGGCAUUGAAGUCUUGUUCUCCUUCUUUCUCUUGUGGUGAUGAUGCCACAUCACCACUAAACAGUCCACGUAAAAAAAAAAACACCUCACCACAUUCUCAUUCCAACACGUGGACAACACUUAACGCCGUCUACUACCACUUAACGGAUGGGAUACAAUGUGUGCAUAUUUUCAAAAAUUGUGACUAAAUUGAGACUGUUGCAAACUUGAGGACCAAAAUGAGAUUAGUUGACAAAUCAGAGGACCAUUGAAGGUAUUAAGCCUAUCUAAUAAUGUGGCAUUGUUAUGUGUUUUAAAAAAAUAAAAAAUUGUGACGUGUAAAUUAAAAUAGUUAGGGUUAAAUUAAAAAAGGAAAUUGGGGUAAAUAAUUAGGGAUUUGAGUUGUUCGAAUUAGGGAUUGGGAUUGGGAAAACUUCAAACUGUAGGGGUUCACGGAAAUUGGAAAUCAAUUGCACAAAUUGGUAAUACAAUUUGAAAUUGGGAAUCAAUGUUCAAGCAUGACGCCAAAAAUAAUUUAUUUAAAGAAAAGAAAUUGUGUUCAAAAUCAUGAAAGGAAUUGGGAAUUUGCAGGACCUGGCGAAAGAGUUGCAGAACAAGAUUCCGAAGCAAAAAAUUUGAGGAGUGCUGAAAUUGCUUCGGUUCUUGUUAGGUUGCUUCAAUCUUAGUUCGGCGUGGUGUUGUUCGGGAUUUGAGAUUGAACUGCAAGGUUGAAGUUCAACAUAGAUCCAAGUCAAUCAUUUGCAGACACGCACUCUCUUUCUCUCACUCACUCACUAACUCUAGCUAUUGUUGUUGUGAGGUUUCAACUGAUUUGAAAAUCCCACUUGAAAUCGAUGUAAGUGCAAUUGUUCGAAUUAGGGAUUGAGAUUGGGAAAGCUUCCUAAAUGUGAAUGAACCCUAAUUUUUCAAAUUGUAUUGUCAAUCUGUGCAAUUGAUUCCCAAUUUCCAUGAACCCCUACAGUUUCAUAAGAAGGAAGUUUUCUCAAUCCCAAUCCCUAAUUCGAACAAUUCAAAUCCCUGAUUAUUUACCCCAAUUUCAUUUUUUAAUUUAACCCUAACUAUUUUAAUUUACACGUCACAAUUUUUUAUUUUUUUAAAACACAUAACAAUGCCACAUCAUCAGAUAUUAGCAGUUCUGCCGUUAACAAAGUUAACGCCGUUACCAAAAAGGACCUAUUUGCUCCGUUUUUACAAAAGCUAUGAUUUAAGUGAACUUUUUAAUAAAAGGAGGACCGCUUUGAACAAACCCUCCCAAAAAAGGGACCAAAAUAAGUAUUAAAUUUUUUUUUUUUAAACAAACGUCAAAUUGGUUUGAAGUAAUAAAAAAAAUCAGUGAAUGUUUGUCAGAUAUGCUAUAAACUUUUAAAGAAAGAGAAAAAAAAAGAAAAGAUGCAUGUUGCGAUAUCAAUUACAUCAUAAUUAUUUAUUAUAUAUUAAAAUAUUAAUUUUGUUGUAAACUAAGCUAUGUAGUUUGAAAAUUUUACUAUGCUUAUGGAUAAUUUGACAUUUAAAUAAGGGUUAAAUAUAUUGUUUUGGCUUUUUAAACUUUAAUAAUGAAUAGAUAUAGUUUUUUUUCUAACUCAAUUACGUUAAAUUUUUUUGGAUGUGUCAACGGACGUUUUAUGUUGUUGUUUGAGUUAUUUAUAUUAUUUUUGUACAUUCUAAUUCAAAUAUCAAUUUUAUACAUUUUAGUUCAAAUAUCAAUUUGAAAGCCAUUUAACACAAAAAUUAACACUGGUUAAGAGGAUUAUAUAAUUUAUUUUUAAAAUUUGAAAACUAAAAUAUAGCAAAGUUUCAAAUAUAGAUUACUCCAUUUUUGCAUCUGAAAAGACUAAAAAUAUAUUUAAUUCUUUAAAUUAUAUAUUUUAUUGAUUAAACAAUAGUAUUGAAAUAAAAUAAUUUAUGAAUAAAUGAUUAAAUAGUUUUUAAAUAAAGAAUUAAAUUGAAAGUUAAUAAUUGAAUGUAUGAAAAACAAUGUUACAAAAUAGUUAUAAUAGUAUUAAAUAAGAUGAAUUUUAUGUAUAAGUAAUAGUUCUAUAAAUUCAUUUCGCAAUGUGUGAAAGAACAGUUUAAUUGUUUCUGUAAGAAAAGAAAUGUCUUAUAUCAAGUUAAGAGGAAUCAAUUGGAUUAAGUCUUAAAAAAUUGGUUUUUUCAAAAUCAUUGUGAAAUUUUUGAUUUUCUUGAAAUUGAUAAACAAGAAAUGAUGAAUCAACAAUAAAAAAGAAAAAGUAUACAAACAAUCUUUAUUGGUUCGGCUAAUCACAAACCUACAUCCAGUCCUCCUUCAACAAUCUUAGUUGAAGGGAAUCUACUAAAAGUUGAUUGAGUUUACAUAAAUAUAGAGGGUUCUAUAAUCAAAAUCAAUAUAGCAAUACAAGAGAUGAAUAACCUCACUCUCUUACAAUAAUUGAGAACACUUACAGCUCUCAACCCCUAGCAAACCUGAACAGGUACACAAACAUAGAUUGUCUAUGAUGAAUCUGAUCUUAAAGUCUCCUUUAGUGCAUAUCAAAUCAAAACAACUUUAGGCCACUUUUCUUGAAAGAAUCUUGAUGUAUAAGCAACUAAUGUAGCCUUGAUUCUCAAGAUUUCUUCUUGAACACUCCUGUAAUCAAAACUCAAUGUAAACGUUAGUAUUUGAAAGUGAUAGCAAUUGAUUGUUUUGAAAAAGAACUCAAGACGCAAAUAUAUAGAAUUUUUUGAAUCCUGACGCAUUAUAAUCGAUUAAGGAUUUUAUGUGAUCAGUUAAGUUUUUGCUUCUGUUUUAACAGAUUAUUCUGAACAUGUAAUCGAUUAUAUAAGCACAUAAGCUAGUUAUUGAUUCCAUUGAUAGUUAUAAUAGAUCAGGCUAUUAAUGAAAUGGAUUUAAGCAAAGUAAACUAAUUUAAUUGAUUAGACAACUUAUGUAAUCUAUUAAUCCUAUACUUAACCAAAUUGUCUAUCCAGUUUCCAUUAUAAACAGAAUUUAUCACUUAUGAAACAUAUAAUGACAUUGCUUUCUAUUUUAAUCGAUUAGAUAACUUAUGUAAUCAAUUACUACAAAGCAGUAUACCCCUCUUAAGCAUACAAAGUGAACUGGUGAAAUCUAACAAGUUUAUAUACUACGUUAAAUCGAUUAUUUCAUCCAAAAAUGAGAUUAUUAAUCACUUUAACACAUGAUUCAUUUAAUACAAAUGAAUUCUCAUAUCAAGCACAAAGAAGAUUUAGAUAAGACAAUUUUUAUACCAUUUGUUAUGCAAGAAACUAUAAAACCAUUUUCUUGUUCAUCAUCAAAAACAAAGAUAUAAAGGGUAGGUUUAGUUCCCCCUAUCAACAGUUUGAAGACCCAAGGUUGAAAUUGUAACACUUUGUUCAGGAUGUCAUAGGUAGUUUAUAAGACAUUCGUUAACUUAAAAUACACAACUUCAAAUACCACCACGAAAUAAUGAAAUUAAAAAAGUUUAUUUAAAUAUGGUAUCAAAAUUAAAACCACGCAGAAGUAAACAUCAUUCUAAUUAUAUCGUUAAAAGAUUGAAAAUUUAAAAUAAAAUCAUUGUCUCAAAUACAUUUCAAAAACUCCCAUAAGAUUUUCCCACACAUCUCCUUGUUUUAGACAUCAACAAUAUCAUCUGUAAUAUCUUCUGCUCGCAUAUAAUAACACGAGUUUUACGAUCAUCGUAUAAGCACAAACAAGCAAGAGAGAGCUAACCAGAAAAUAAUAUAAGAUAGUAACCAAUAACCACCGAGAGCAAGGGAAAUGAUCCACUUGAAGGACUUGGAAGACCUAUGAUAAGGGUCAAAUCAAGGAAAGCAAAUGAAGCUCUUCAACAACUGUUGUCCAUAUUAAUUGAAUACUAGCCCAAAUAUCAAGGAGAAAAAUGGUGAAUUGCAUUAUGGUUCAAAUGGAAGAGAAUUAAAGCAUCAUUUUUGUUGCUAUUUUAUUUUAUAAGUGUUAGAAUUUCCAUAUCGACUAGAGCUAAGACCAAAUUAUAAUAUACAAGUGAGGUGCAAACUUCACCUUACAAGCCGAUUAUGUGGGGUUGAGUUAGACUUAAAACUCACUUUUUAAUAUGGUAUCAGAGCGAUGCUUAAAACUCACUUCUUAGUUUGUUUUUUAAAAUAACUCAAUCUUUGUAAAAUUGACUGACCAAAUUAUGUGUGAUAUAUUGUGUUAUGUUUGAAUAUAGUUGUAUUGUGUGUUAUUUAUUAAGCUGCUUCAUUAUGUAAUGACUCGACAGUUCGGUUGGUACUAAAAGAUAAAAUUGUUGUUAUCUCGUUGGUCAUGAUUUGGAUCGAGAUAUAGUAUUUCGUUUAAGUUUUCCUAGAUUUGAUUAUGUUGGGAAAAUUUAAUAUUUUUUGUUAUCUUUGUAAUAUUUACAUAUUGUUAUUAUUCGUUGCAACUAAAAUGUUCUCUUUCUUGAAGAAUAAAAACUACUUAUUCUUAAAUAAAAUGUUCCCUUAGUUUUUAAAUAAGAAAUUCAUAAAAAUAUUUCGAAUUAAAUCUAGAAUCCAUUUUCAAAUUAUGCACUUUAGUCAUACUUACAUUCCAGACCAUAUAAUUUGAAACAUGUUUCCAAAUUUCACAAUUUAACCAUGAACAUUCAUAUUGAAGUGGAGGCAGAAACUAUAGUAGUAAAAAGAGUAAUUACCCAACCUUUGGUGCCUAGUGUAGACCGAAAUAUUUAAUGGAUGACAAUUUGAACUAGUUUUCCAACUGUAGUAGUUUCUUCUUACACCACCUUAAUUUCAAAUUGCACCAUCAUCAAUUUUAAAAUUUCAAAUUUACACUUGAGUUUACUAUUUUCCUCUUUAGUUUCAAAUUAUUUAAUCUAAAGAUGUUUUGAAAUGGACAAUUCGAAAAUAAGUUUUCUAUUCCAAAAUGCACAAUUCAAAAUAUAAAAUUUAUAUUCUAUAAAGUAUAUUAUAAAAUAUAAAAUUAAAAUCUACAAAAUUUGUAUUCUGAAAUAUAUAUAUAUAUAUAUAUAUAUAUAUAUAUAUAUAUAUAUAUAUAUAUAUAUAUAUAUAUAUAUUCAAAAUUGUAAAUUCCAAACUGUAUACCAGAUUGUGCAUUACAGAAAAUAAAAAAGAAAAGAAAUUGUGCAAUUCUAAAUGUAUUUUUCAAUAAACAUACACUAACAAAAAAAAAU